CCGUUCUUGAUCUCCUUCACCUUAAGCUCAGCGAAUGCCUCUGGGUCGUCAGCAAGACCCAAUGGGUCGAAGCUGCCACCUGGGUACAAGGGGUCGGUCACCUCACCGAGAGGCCCGCCAGCAAUACGGUAACCCUCAACAGCUCCCAUCAAGAUAACUUGGCAAGCCCAGAUGGCCAAGAUGCUUUGAGCGUGGAUCAAGCUUGGGUUUCCCAAGUAGUCAAGCCCACCUUCGCUGAAGAUCUGAGAUCCGGCCUUGAACCACACAGCCUCACCGAAUUUGACUCCAUUCCUAGCCAAAAGCUCAGGGAAAACACACCCAAGAGCACCCAACAUAGCCCACCUACAGUGGAUGACUUCGAGCUCACGGUUCCUGGCAAAUGUCUCUGGGUCCGCCGAGAGUCCAGCAGUGUCCCAACCGUAGUCACCAGGGAAUUCUCCGGUCAAGUAAGAUGGAGGCUCACCAGAUAGUGGACCCAAGUACAAGACUCGGUCAGGACCGUACCAUGGACUUCCAGAGGGAGCAGCCUUGGUAGCGGUUUUCCUCAUGGAAACACGGCCAUUGCCUUGGAUUUUAGGGGCGGAAGGAGAGAGCUUGACGGCCUUUCCGGCGAAAGAUGGGGAAGAGAGAGCCAUGGUUGCAGCCGCCAUUCUGAAGGGGAAAGAUGAUCUCGGGUGAUGGGAGUUUGUGGUAUAAGUUUUGAGAGUGAUGGAAAGGGGGCAAUGCGCAGGGAUUAUAUAGGGAGCUGUGGGCGAGGUUCCUCAAUCCUUAUCUAGGCCAGUAUCUAUAUCUCUCAUUUCAUUGGGGGCUCAAGAUUUCGAUAUUUUCUUUGGAUUUUCCACUUGGCACUCUUUCCAUCCACAAAAACACUUAACGGGCAGUAGCCGAUGCCAGUAUCUAUCUUUUUUUUUUUUUAAUUCUCAUUUUGUCUUUGAAAUUUGAAUGCACAGUUGGAGAUUUUGACACUCACUAUAAUUAAAUAUUGACAACCACAAAUUAUUAGGACAAUAAACGAGUUUUGAAAGAGAGAAACUUGUUGAGCCCAUAUGCAGUAAAUUUGUUCUUCAAGUUAUGAUGUUGAAAUGAUGGCAGCAAAAUACAAGUCACUGAGUUUGAGUGGCUGUUAAGAUAUUUAUGUAAAAUAUCUACAUGGGGAAAAAUAUCUUGCGUUGCAGCAGUAGCACCAUGAAAAAUACUUGAAAUAGAUCAAAUCUGUACAAACUUUAUGAACCAAAUUCACCCCCCUCCCCAGUAGGCUAAAUUUAGUAUGGAGACAGAGUUCCUUUUGUCAAGCAGGAACAGAUAAACAAUUUACGGUUGAUAAGAAGCCAAUCAGCCAUUUAAAAAGCUUCCAAAUCUUAGCUUUGAUCAUUGUUAUUUCUUUUUCUAAUUUUGUGUUGUGUUUAUAGUUGAAGCAUUUACGGUAUUCUGCAAAAUAAGGGCAACAUUAUAUAGACAGUGAAAUGGAAAUAUAUGUUUCUAAAUGCAGACUGUUAGUAUUGUUAACGUGAUAACGAGCUUAGCCUUGGAACAAUUUUCUCAGGAAAAAGUUAGGAUUUUUCCUAUUUUGGUACAACUCAAAAGCGUUAUCUUAUGAUUAUCAAUGUCUGAAUUCCUAUUGGUUUGUAACAUUUGGGAUGUCUAUUUUGCAAUGUCCAGUUGGAGUAAUUUUGGUGAAGCUGAUCUAUCGAAAAUCUCAACCAAUUUUUGAAGUGUUAUUUGUUGCUCCAAUGAGAUAAUGCCACUUGUUAUGGUCGGAUAUAUAUUCCCCAAUACCAUAUCUGCUUGGAACAAACAUUAUUUUAUUUGUUUUUUUUUUACUGUUUGCUUACAGAUUAAUGGUUGACAGAAACAAGAAUCACGGAAUUUAAAAAGAAAAAAAGAAUUAAUUAAGUUUUUUCAUGAGCAUUCAAAAUUUUAAAUUGUAUUAAUUAAGCCUUUUUACUAUUAUUUAUUUAUUUUUAACCAUUACUGUCAAUGAUAACAAUUUCUAACCUAUUAUUGCCAGUUAGUAAAAAAUUAAAAAAUUUCAAAAAAAAUUAUUUGAACUUUUUAUAUCUAGAAUAAAUUUGGACAAAUAAAUAAUUAUUUGUGUAGGUUCAUCUUGGAUUUAAUCUUUUAAAAAAUAUAUAAAUUUUAAAAUUAAUAAAAAUGUUAAAUAAAAUUCAAAAUAGAAAAUUAUUUAAAUGUUUAAGUCCAAAAUUAUAUAAAGUUUUAAAAAUAUUAAUUUUUCUUAAAAAUAUGAAAUGUGUAUCAAUGUUUUAAUUUUACUGUAACUUUUAGACUAUAAAAAAAAAGAAUAGAUCGUAUAUAUAUAAUUUUAAAUUUUAUUGAUUCUAUUUAUAAAGUUAAAAAAAAUGAGUAUAAAUGUAUCUCAAUUGUAUUCUUACACGUGUAGCACUAAAAGUACUUGAACAAACUAAUAGAUAUUACAAUUUACUAAAAUAAAUAAAUUAGUUAAUAAAAAUUUUAUUUCUAAAAAACAAUUUGAAAGAAUUUUAAUAUUACCAAAUUUGAAAAGAGUUUUAAAUAUAAAAAAUUAAUCAAAUAAUAUGAAGAAUAAUAAUUUAAAAGGUAAACUACGUUGGUGGUGUUAGGUAGGUUUUAUUUUGGUUACUCAAUUUAAAAUAUUUUCAAUUUCGUCACUAGCAUUUUUAAAAUUUAAAAUUUUAAUCCCUACCGUUAAAUACUUAACGAAAAGUUGACGUGGGCCAUUUUUAUUGGCCUAAUAAUAAAUUUAGUCUUUCAAUACUUACACAUUUUAUCAAUUCAAUUUGAUUCUUAAUCUAACAAUUUAACAAAUUUACAAAAUUUGUCAUUUAGUUCUAAUUCUAAAAAAUUGAAUAAAUUUAGCUUUAUAUAUUUACAGAAUUUAAACCUUUAGAAUUAGAUUAAAUUAACAAAUUUUGUUUGAGUUUCAGAGUGCGGAGAAAACCGAAGUUAAAAUGAUCAAAUUUUAUUGGAUGAUGUAGGUCUCUUAUAAAAUUCCCUAAAAAUCCCUUCAUUAGGAAUUUGAACUUUAGAAUUUUUAUUUAGAUUUCAAAAAUAGUAAAUUAAAUGGUAAAAUAGUUAGAUAUGUAAUAUUUAAAGCCCAAACUAAUAACUAGGGUAGAAGAAGUACCUGAUUUAUGUAAUAUAAGUUUUUUCUUAGAAUACAAUUAAAAUGUUUUGAUAUUUGAGGAUCAAUUUAUAAUAUGAAAUGUAGUUUGAGGAUGUUAAUGCAAUUAACUCUUUCUAGAUAUUCAAGCGAUAAUUGUAUGUACAUGGCUGAUGCCUUUGUUAGUGAGGGAUCCAGCUUGGAAGGGUAACUGCAAUCUGUUUAAUCCGUUGGUUCGAUAACUUUUUUUAAUUAACUUAAAUCAUUUAAAUCGACUUUGAUUCAGUUCGUAAAGUAAGUUUUUCCAGUAAAUCGAGGUUGGAUUAUUAGGUUGAGUUUAUACGAUUAUAUAUUUAUUAUAAAAUAUAAAAUAUAGAUAUAUUUAUAUAAUUUAAAAAUAAUAUAAAAUAAGUUAACUUUUUCGAUCAAUUCAAUUUCAAGUUUCAAAAAUUAAUAACUGACCAAAUUAAUCGAUUAAGUCAAGGCCAAAACUAACCAAUUCACUCACUUGACUAAACUGAAAUUAAAAAAAAAAAACUGAAUGAGUCAUUUUUUUCGAUUUUUUCAACUAAAACUGAAAAUUGGUCUCCAUAAAUAUGAUAGUCUAAAGUUCAAAGAUUCAAUGUUUCUACAAGGUAAACUUAAAGGAUUUCGGUGGGAAAGUACUUUUCCAAUUAGUGAUGAAUAUAUUGCUUUUAAAAAGUGUUUUUUCGUCUAAAUAAAAAAGUUGAGAUUCGGAUGCUUUUGACUUUUGCUCUCAUCUUUUGCGUUUUGAAGUGAAAUGAUCAAAAUAUCAUUAUUUAUAGUAAUUAUAUUUAAAAUGUAUAUAAAAAAUUAGUUUCAUUUAUAUUUUUUAUAUCAUUAUAUUAAAUUAUUUAAAUAUCAUUUAUCAUUAUAUUAAUUUACUUAAAUAUUAUUCAUAAAUAUCGUUAUAUUAAAUUAUUCAAAUAUCAUUCAUCAUUAGGUAUAAAAUUUUAAAAUAUUUUAUUUUUGUAUCAUUGAUUUUAGAAGUAAUUUAUAUUAAUAACUCAAAAGGUGGUUGGAAUUUAUAUUUCAUGUAUCAUUAUAUUAAAUUAUUUAAAUAUUAUAUAAAUUAAUUAAUUUUUUUCUUUCCAAUAUCAUGUUUAAAAUAGAUAUUUUAAUUUUCAAUCACAAUUUUUGAUAACAACAUCAAACAUUUAAAAUUAACAAACCAUACUUUUUUCAUAAAAUUUUCAAAAACAUUUUUCAACACAGUAAUAAUGGGGAACUAAGCCUUCAUUUCUAAGGGCUAAGAAGGGUUGGAUGGUUAGUUAUGUCAAUCUGUUUUGAGUUGGGUUUGUGUUUAAAUUUUUUAAUUUUGGGUUGGUCUGAUUCAAUCUGUUUUAUUGUUUAAAAAAUAAAAUACAUAAAAAAUAUUUUUUUAUUUUUAUAAUUAAAUUUAUACUAUACCUCCUAAUUUUUUUAACAGUUAGUUAUAUGUCUUGCAAUUAAAUCUGUUUAAGGGUUGAGUUCUCUGUUUAAAUUAGAAAAUUUAUUUGAAAUAUAAAAAUGUUUAAAUAAAAAUAAUAAGCUUGUAACAACCUAAUUUUUAGUGGUAUCAAAAACAGUGAUUUGGGAUCACUAAAUCCGACAAGUAAGCUUGAAAAUAUAAUAAAUUAAUAAUUAUGGGUCAAAUGUGAAUUUAAAAGAAUAUUUGAAUUAGUGAAUUCUGUGAUUUAGUGAAUUUUGUGAUUUAAAAAGAAUUUAAUUGGUAAAUUGGGUCUAAAGCAAGGUAUCGAGACCUCGAAUUCAUAAGUCGAGCCAUAAAUAUUUUUAUAAAUAUUUAUGGAGUGUCAUUGAGUUAGUAUAAAAGUUUCGUUAGAAAAUUUUAAUGUUUGGAUAGUCAAUUAAUUAAAAAAGACUAAAUUGAAAAUAGUACAAAAUUUGUUAAAUUGUGAUUAAAUAGUUUUGGGCAAGAAAAUCAGCAAGAAAAUAAGGAGAAAUAAGGGAAAAAUUGGAAAUUUUGCAAAUUAAACAUAUAAAAUAAAGACAAAAUUGAAAAAUCUAGAGAUAUUAUCAUUUUUCUUCAGCCAAAACGCCAUAGGAGAGAGUUUUCAAGCUGGUUUUUCAUAUUUGUCAUCAUGUAAGUUCAAUUAUUGCUUUUUCUUUGUAAUUUUUCAUGUUUUGUGACUUUUACAAUUAAGUCCAAUUAUUGAAUUCAUUUGUUUUUGAUUCUAUGAAUGAUUUUGAUUCUUUGAAAGUUACCAUGAGUGAGUACUGGAAUUUUAUGAUGAAUUAUUAUAGAUUUUAAGCUUUAAUUUUAUUAUAUUAUGAUUUUAUUAAGUGAUUUUAGUAGAAAAUGAUUUUUAAGACUUAAUUGUGAAAAAGUUAGGAAUUGGGAUUUUGUACUGAAAUUCUGAAUAUCAAAGGCUGUAUAAUAGCCUAAAAUUAUUAGAUAAAGUGUUAUUUGAGGAAAAAAAAUUAGUUCAAUUAAAGUGUUAAUUGAGUAGGGACUAGAUUGUAAAAACUGUAAGUUUUGGGGUAAAAGUGUAAUUUAAAAAAUUGAAGGGCAUAAAUUAUGAAGUGAAUUAGUAUUGAGUUAGAUGCUAAUGAAUGGAAAAAUUUAUAUUAUAGAUCGGGAAUCUGAAGAUAAAUGCGGAAAAGAGAGUAUUAAAAUAGUCUUUGAACUUUUACAAAUCCUACAAAUUGGCCUAGGUAAGUUCAUACGGUUGAAUUUUUAUGGUUAAUUGUUAAUGUGGGAAUGAUAUAUUGUAUCAAUUCGUAUAUUGUUUUUGAAUUAUGUUUAUGGUAAAAAUGAGAAAAAAAAUGAGAUUGUUAGUUUAAAUUAAAGGAUACGUAGGAUUGAGUACAUACGUUCUGUAAUCAGUGAUGAAUUGACGAAUAAGCCCAUGGUGAAUCCAUGGAAAAAUUGUGAAAGGUAGGUAUGUUUCAGUGAAGAAAGCCAUACUAAGUUGUGAAAAGUAUGUAUGGUGUUUCAGUGAAGAAAACCAUACUGAGUUGUGAAAAGUAGGUAUGGUAUUCCAGUGAAGGAAACCAUACUGAGUUAUAGCAUUGUAAAAUAUUCAAGCAAAUCGUGGCACCGGGCAAACGAUGUACUCAAAUCCGUAAGACGAUCCUUAAUUUGACAAGUAUUUGUAAGUGCAAUUGAAGCUGAAUGUUGGAAUACAAGUUGAUAUUUAAUAUUGAGCUCAAUUGAGUAAAUUCAUUGUUUGAGAUUGUGGUUUGUAGGAAAUGUUGUAUUAUACUUUGAAAUUUCAUGAAUGCUAUGGUAUGUUAUUUUAUAUGAAUGUUAUUAAACUGAGAUAAUUGUGAAAAUAUAAAUGUUUGAAUAAAAGUUCUAAUUUAGUGGAACAUUGGAUUGAGUACUUUCGUUCAGUGACUCAUACGCAUUGACGGAAAAGACCAUGGUUGGACCAUGGCAAUAUGUGAUAUGUGAUUUCCGUAUAAGACCAUAUCCGAGAUAUGGCAUCGGUGUGAUAUAUGCUUCCAUGUAAGACCAUGGCUGGGCUAUGGCUUUGGUGUGUGAUAUGUGAUUAUGUGCAAGACCAUAGUUAUACUAUGGCAUUUUAAAAAACGAAGUACUCAAUUCCGUAAGCGUUUCCUAAAUUGAUUAAGAAAGGGAAGAAUUAAUGAAAUUAUAAAUUGUAUACUUGUUAUAAGAUGUUCGGUAAGAAUUAUUUUCUAUGCCUAUGAACUUACUAAGCUUACAUAAGCUUACUCCUGUGUGAUUAAUGUUCUUUGUAGAUUGAUGUGAAAUCGGUGGAUCAGAUCAACACAUCAAGGCACACUAUUCAGAUUACUUCGGUAAAUUUUAUUGUGCAUCUUAAGGUUUAUAUGGCAUGUAUAGGGUUUAAGUGAAGGUGUUAUAAACUUAGUUAUCGACAUUUUCCACUAAAACAGUUUUUGGACAGCAGCAUUGACAUGAUUUUAAAAAAUUACUAAAAAUGGUGGAAAUUGAAUUAGAAGAUGAGUAAGAUAUGAAAUUAAAGCUGAAUGAGUCUAUUUUCACAUGAAAGAAAUAGAGUAAGCAAAAGAGUUGUAUAUUUUUAGAUAUUUGAAUUUUAGUGAGACAGGGUCAGAAUAGUUUUUGAAAUCACAUGUUCUGACUUUAGAAAAUUAUUAAAAAUUGUACAGAAAGAAUUGGAAGUUAUAAUUUAUAUUUAUAGAUUCCUUAGUGAGUUUUUUUUCAAUAGAAACAAACGAGAAUGUUAUCCGAAUUCUGUACAAUGAGAUAAUUAAUUUUUAGUGAAGAGGGGUCAGAGCUGUCGAACAAUGAAACAGGGGAGACUUUAAAGAAUAAACUAUACUAAUUGACUAAACCAAAAAUUCUGAAAAUUUUAUGAUAAGAAUAUAUAUGAGUCUAGUUUCAGGGAAAAUUUACGGAUCUAAAUUUUGAGUUUUGUAACUUGAGUUAUAAUUAAAUUAGUGACUGUUGCGCAGGUGGACAGUUUUAUUAUGAAUGGUGAAAUGAAUUUUUUUGAUUUGUUUUAGUAUUUGGAAAAUUAUUAAUGUUCCCGGUUUGGACCCGAACUGUUUCUAUUGCAUGAUUUAGGGUCUCGAGAUUCCUUUUUAGGGACAUAUUGAAAGAACGUGAGUGAAUUAAUUUUAAAAGAAAAUUUUUAUGCUCCGAACUAGUAAGUUAAGUUAGGUAAUACCUCGUGCUCGACUCCAGCAACGGUCUCGGGUAAGGGGUGUUGCAAAGCUCAAAAAAUAAGCUUGAGCAAAAUUUAAGACUCGCUUUUAUUUGAGCUGAGUCUUAGAUAAGAUUUUUUUUCCUCAAAGUUGAACCCAAGUUAAAUAUACAUUUAAUAUAUAUUUUAAAUAUAAUAUAAUAUAUUUAUAAAUUAUUUUAAAGAAAAACAUUGCGUGACACGCUUUCUUCGGACCUAAGCAAAUAUUAAAAGACUUGGAACCUUGUUUCAACAUGACUCGACCAAUUGAUCAUGUCCUCAUCAUUUAUUUGUAUUGUUCAACUUUUUACAACAACAAAAAGAAGGCACAUUGUUCUAUUCAUUAAUGGUAGAGUCACUUGCUGUUGUCUAGCUCAAACUUCAAACGUCAAAGGCAAAAGUACGUUCAAUACAUUUACUACUAGAUGUAAUGGUAGAGUCACAAAUUCAACUUAUCUGUUGGAUUUUCUACCAGAAAGAUGAAGAUGAUACAUUCAAAACCACCGUACUUACUGAAUAUGAACCGGUCAUACUUCCAAGCCCGAUCAAGAUCAUUUUGUAGUAUAAAGAAACAUUAAGCAUAUAUAUUGCAGUAAGCAUAUGGUAGAACAUAAUAAUAGAAAGUUGAGUAAAAACUAGUCUCAGGCUUUGACUCAAUGAUAGGCAGCUGCACCCUGCAGUGCUGAAUGUUCGGAUAAGCCUAUGCUAGAAGAGUUCAGAAAUUUCACCGGUGUUUUCGGUCUUCGGCAUGUAGUCAUCGAGAUAUUGCUGAUAGACAUAGGAAAUGAAGCCCCAAAUAGCCAAAACCAUAGAUAUCACCUUUAUACCAUCCAUUUUGUCAUUGAAGACAAAGACUGCAAUUAUUGGAACUAUAGGCAAACCAAGUGCACUAAUGGCAGUGCAGAAGAGGGCAGACACCUCCAACACUAAUCCUACUGCACCAAUGUAGAAAACAGCCCAACAUAUAGCAGUCCAAAUCAAUACCAUGAGAUAGGAAAAUUUCCCAAGUCCAUAUUCAUCCAUUUCUCCGCUAAACCCUUUCCAAUCUCCGCUAGCAAAGAAGCCCACUAGUAUAGCACUUGAUGCAACGAGUGAUUGGCACAUCACCAAAUCCAAGACAACCUUAAAUGACUGCCUUACCACAAGCUUUCGAAGCGCAAACUGCUGUAAGGCAACUAACAGUCCAGACCCUGCUGUUCCCAAAAUGGUGCAUAUGAAUCCAGCGGCACAAUGUACUUGAGAAACUCCAGCAAGCCUUGAAGAGUUAUUAUUGAAUACAAGGAGCACUGAGGAAAUGGUGAGAAGGACUAGAGAAUUGAUGAUAAAAGGAGUGAACCUUUGGGAAUUAAGGAAGUACGAAAAGAAUGCAUUAAAAGCCAGCUGAGAUGCAGCAAUGAGGGUGACAGUAGAUAUAGGAAGAUACUGCAUGCCAACUGAAUAAAGAAAGCCAAUUCCAGCUGACAUCAAGCCGAAGGUUACAUAGACCAAACCCAGCAUCAUAAUUGAUGGUUGGUUAUUACUUCCAAUGCUACAAUGAUUGGCAGUGAGCAUUUUGGGCCGAGAAAUGCAAUAGAAAGGGACUAGAAUAGGGAAACCUGCAAAUUGAAUUAGUGUUGAUAGCCAUUUGCUUUUUCCACCUUUGUCAAAGUAAAGUCUUCCCAGCAAUGCGGCUACUGAUUGGCCGCAGAGGAGAAAGAUUAUACAGAGCAAUAUGCAAAUCCAGCGCUUGUAUUUCACAGUUCCCAACUCUGUUAUUACUUGGUUGGUGGCAUUUCCAUUUUCUUCCUUAGCUUCUUGAGCUGCCAAAUAUCAAACAUGAUGUACUUGAGUCUCAGUAUUGAAUGAAAUUUGAAAUAUUCUUUUUCUUUAAUGUAAGUUGGUGAUUCUAAUAUCAGGCUAGUUCAAUCCCCAAGUUUAAGCUUAAAGAGUGUAGACAAUUUGAUAUCAAGAUUGUUCUUAUUUCAGUCAGACUGGAAGAUUGAUUUUAUACUAAAAUCCAUAGAUAAAAUCAAACUGUUUUGAGUUCUUUUGGAGGAGAAGCAUUUUCCAUCUUCCAAGUUUGGUCUAAAUUUAACUUACUAUACAUUGAUCAGUACAAAAUAGGGUGCAAGUGAGAACUCUUAAUCAUAUAAAUCAACCCAAUUUCUAGUCUUCAACUAUCAACAUGCUUAGUUUGAAACCUGGUAUAUAUAAUAUAUUGCUGUAAUAAUUAUAUGUAUGCAUAAUCACCUCUAAAGGUAAAUUAUAUAUAUAAAUAUAUUCCCGGUAACUAAAUAAAGCCAUAGUCACAGAUGAAACACAUAGUGUAGUGGUAAAAAGUUUUUUUUAAUUAAUAAGAAAAUCAACUUCUGCAACUAAAAUAUCAUAUGAACAUAACUUUGGGAAGGAAAAAAAAUUGCAGAAAAGUAAGGUGAAGACUUACCUACGAUGGGUAGUUGAAAAUGCCGAGUUUCUGCCAUUUCUUGCAAAGGAUGAUUAUCCAGCACAAUAUGGUGAUGGUAAUACACACACGCAUAUAUUAUGCCUGAUUGGUGUGGACUUUUCAAUGGUGUCAUGCAAUUAUUUGCGUCCAGCUUUUUACUAUUAGGUGAACUUAGUGUUAGAAUUUGGACUAAUCCAACAUGAAAAUACUGAUUAUAUACAACAGAAGCGACUUCAAUAAAACAUUAAGUAGUUAAUACGAUAUAAAAUAUAUAAGCAUGAAUUAUUAAUAUUUUAAAAUUUAUUUACCAAUAUAUAAUACGAAAAUAUAAAUAUAAUAUGAAUAUAUAAUUUUUUAUUUAAUUUAAUAUUUAAACUAUUAUUUAAAUGUGUGAGUAUCACUCGAAUCAAAGAAAUUACUAAAUAAUUUUAUAUUAUUUAAUUUUUUAUUUUUAAAAAUGAUAAAUAUUGAGAUUUUAACUAAUUUACCCACUUAGAAAAUUGAGGUUCUAGAAUGUAAUUUCCAUUUGACUAUGAGUAGAGUUGAUUUGACUGUUUUGACGCCUUGUUCCUGUGAUUUUUUAUUUUGGUCAAUGAUUCACAAAGCAAGUUGAAAAGAAAAUUAAUUGGGGGGAUUAUUCUCCUGAAAAUUAAUAUGAAGUUGGACCCAAUGCUUUUAAUUUCGUAGCGGCCGCCAAAGGAGACCAGUAGGAUUUACUUUAUCUUUUCUUUGUCAUAAAAUAAUAUUAUUUUUAAUUCCAAUUAAUUAUAAAUCAAAAUAUUUUUCAUUUAAUUCGAUAACUGCAUGUUAUGGGAUUAAGGUUAAUUUUUUAAAGAGAGAAAUGGCAUAUUAUUUGGAGAAUUCCAGACUUUGGCUUGCAAUCCUGCGACAAGUUCUAUGGUUUCUUUGCUGUACGCCGAGUCUGUCAAAUUCAAUUGUAUUGCUAUUUAUACGAUAAACAUGAAAACGAAAUAGCUCCUGCACGUAAACAUUGUACUAUGCCAUCAACAACAACGACAUUAAGCAUAAUCAAUCAGCAUCAUUCUUAUACUUACAACCAAUGAAAAACAGGUAAUAAAUUGAUUAUGAUAUUUUUAUCUUUCUUCAUCACAUGGAAAAUCCCGAACUAAAUAACCCUAUUAAGUAUGAAAUUGUUUAAUUUUAGAUACUCAACUUACAUUUAACAACUUGUUAUUAUUGCAAUUCACAAUACAUAACACUAAGAGUUGAACUCUUAAAAUUUAGAACAAUUUGAUUUUCUUCUCUAUAUAACUUUGAUAAAGACAUUGCGGUAUUUCAUGUAUCAUAAAAUAAAACCAGUAGAGAAGCAAAACCCAAGUCAUUUCAAAUGCUAUUGACAACAUCACAUACUUUCAUUGGUACUACAACCUAGACCUAUCCAUGGGCCGGGCCCUAACAAAAUUAUAGGUCCGUUUGAUAGGCCCGGGCUCGACCCGACUUGAAAAAACGGGCCUAAAUUAUUGCUCAAGCUCAACCCAUAUUAUAGAUAACAAACCUGAGCCCAACUCAUAUUAAAAUUAUUUUAUUUUAUUUUUAUAUAAACAAUUAAAAAUAUAAUAAAUCAAAAAUACUAAAAACAUUAAAAUAAAUGUUUCUCAACAAACAAAUUGAAAAUAAAUUAAAAAAUAUAGUUAUACUUAAAUAACACUAAGACAAGUGCAACUUAACAAGAAAAUGACUUUAAAAUAGUAGUAAAAUUAACAAUAAAACAAAAGUUCUACAAUAUCCAAACAAUAACAGCAAAAUAGUAGUAAUAUAAUAGUGAAAUGACAACAAAAUAGUUAAAAAAACAGCAAAACAAUAGUUUUUUUUUAUACAAAUUCAGGUUAGGCCUAAGCCAAAAGAACCUUACUUGAGGCUAAACGGACAUUUAUUUGCUCAAGCCCAUUUUUCGAGAUUAUAUUUUUGCCCAAACCCUCCUACUUUUCGAGCGGGCCUUCGGGCCGGGCCGGAUAACCUUGCCCAUGGACAGGUCUACUACAGCCUAACAUGUUUUAAAAUUUACCAUAAAUUACAAUGCAAUAAAUUUGAUAUCCAUUAUUUCUUUAUAGGUUUUUGAAGCGUUUUUAUUCUUGAUUUAUUUAGAAGUCUUUCCUUUUUUAAACAUUCUAUCAGAUGUUCCAAGGUGAGGUUGUAAUUUUAUCAAAUAACGAUAUCGAUUUUUGGUACUUUUCAACAUAUAAUUGACUUAAAAUGCACCAUAAAUCAUGAAUUUUUUUUCAUUUUAUGGCAUAUUUGAUAUAAUAUAUAUAUGAUCAAUAACGCAAGACUUAUACUGCAUUCAAGAAACAUAUUUACCUACCUAAUUCAAGAUUCAUUUACUAUCACGAUAAUCAAUUGUUGAACGUCAAAUUUGAUCACCUAAUUUAAUUAGUUUUAGCAUUUAAUGUCUAGGGUUUUUUUUUUUGCCUAUAUAUUUGAAUUCUAUCCAAAAAGAACUUCAUUCUAAACCAUUUAAAAGGCUAGUAAAGCAUUCCUUUUUUCCACCAAUGAUAAGUUUAUGUUCCAUGUGAUUUCUGGGCCAAAUCAAUCGCCUUUUGUUUUUCUUUUAAUACAUCUAGUUGGUCAUAGACCUCAUUGAAAUCUUUGACAAGCAAGUUGAUUCUUACCUUACAGUAAGCCUCAACAGGAGCAUCAGUGGUUUUAUUAAAAGGUUGGUUUGGGUUUAAAAAGCGUUUAGCGACAGAUUCAACAGACGGAUGACCAAACGAAUAAGGUUUACCAGCUAGUAAGAAAAUAAUAAAAAGAAUCUCACCACCACAUAUAGUGGAGAGCUUAGAGAUUUUCUUAUAAAUUCCUGUACGUCGUUUUGAAAAUGAGAUGAGCCUAUCAUCCUCAUUUUUAAUGAUUUUAAUCUCAAUUUUUUGUUUUCCCCUAGUUUCUUGCCCGAGCUUGCCAUUGCAAAAAAGAUCAAAAGAUAAAAGAAACAAACAAAAAAGUUAAAAAUGAAUGUUUUACUAGCCUUUUAGAUGGUUUGGAAUGAAGUUCUUCUUGGAUGGAAUUUAUAUAUAUAGGCAAAAAAAAACUCUAGAAAUUAAAUGCUGAAACUAAUUAAAUUAGGUGAUCAAAUUUGACGUUCAAUAAUUGAUUAUCGUGUUAGUAAAUGAAUCUAGUCUUGAAUUAGAUAGGUAAAUAUAUUUCUUGAAUGCAGUAUAAAUAUUAUGCUAUUGAUUGUGUAUAUAUUAUAUCAAAUAUGCCAUAAAAUGAAAAAAAAUCAUGAUAUUUUGGUGCAUUUUAAGUCAAUUAUAAGUUUAAAAGUAUCGAAAAUCGAUAUCGUUAUUCGGUAAAAUUAGAAGCUCACCUUAGAAUAACAAACAUCACCAUACUUUCAAUGGUAGUACAACCUAACCUAUUCUAGAAUUUACCAAAAUUUGCAAAGCAAUAAAUUUGAUAUCCGUUAUUUCCUUAUAUGCUUUUGGAGCAUUUUUUUUCUUGAUUUAUUUUGAAUUAUUUCCUUUUUUGAACAUUUUAUCAGUUAUUCCAAUGUGACCUUCUAAUUUUACCAAAUAACAGUAUCGAUUUUCAACAUAUAAUUGACUUAAAAUGUACCAUAAUAUCAUGAAAUCUUUUUUCAUUUUAUGACAUAUUUGAUAUAAUAUAUAUACGAUCAAAAACACAAGAUUUAUAUUGCAUCAAGAAAUAUAUUUACCUACCUAAUUCAAGACUAGAUUCAUUUACUAACACGAUAAUCAAUUGUUGAACGUCAAAUUUGAUCACCUAAUUUAAUUAGUUUCAGCAUUUAAUGUCUAGGGGCUUUUUCUUUUUGCCUAUAUAUAUAAAUUUCAUCCAAUAAGAACUUCAUUUCAAACCAUUUAAAAGGCUAGCAAAGCAUGCCUUUUCAAUUUUUUUGCUUGUUUCUUUUUUCUUUUGAUCUUUUCUGCAAUGGCAAGCUCAAGUAAGAAAAUUAAGGGAAAACAAAAAAUUGAGAUUAAGAUCAUUGAAAAUGAGGACGAUAGGCGCAUCUUAUUUUCAAAACGACGUACAAGAAUUUAUAAGAAAAUCUCUGAGCUCACUACUUUAUGUGCUGGUGAGAUUCUUUUUAUUAUUUUCUCACCGACUAGUAAACCUUAUUUGUUUGGUCAUCCUUCUGUUGAAUUUGUUGCUAAAUGCUUUUUAAACUCAAACCAACCUCUUAAUGAAACAUCUGAUGCUCCUGUUGAGGCGUACCAUUUGAAAAGUCACCACAUCUUUUUAAGUUGUUUUAUGUAUUUAAAAAGUCAUGUUGUCAUAUCCCUUUUUGAUAAAACUUCAAAAGAAGAAGAAGAUGGUAACAAUAAAAUGCAUGCAUUAAGAGCAAAUAAAUUAAAAUUAAAUUUGAUUAUACAUUUGCAUUUUUUGCUUACUAAGUUUGUGUAAAUAUUUACGAUUAUAAUUAAAUAAAAAACUUAAAAUUUAAAAAUAGUAUAAAUGUUUUUUUAAGUAAUAAAAAGGAAAGGUGAUAGCGAAAUUAAUCUAAAUGUUAUAUUUAGAUAUAUUUUACAUGUAAAAAGUUUUUAAUUACGGUUUAACGAUUUAUUUUUUAAGUAAUAUAAAGAAAAGGACAUAACGAGUUUUGCUAUAAAAAAUUCUAAAUGUUAUGCUUAGAUAUAUUUUAACGUAAGGAGAUAAAAAAAAACAUGUACGCGAAUUUCUAAUUUUGUUUUAGCGAUAUAUUUUAUUAAAUUAGGAUAAUGUUGAAUUCUAUUGUUUUGUUUUUCUUAUUGGGAUAUUAUAAAAGAAGUUGAUUAUUCAAUAUUUUUUUUAAAAAAAAUUGCAACAAAACAAUUAAAAAAAAAACCCAUCUAUGGAAAUUCAAAUGAGUACCCAUAAAAUAAUACAAUAAUAAUACCCAAUAAGACAAUGAUAUUACUUGACGGAAGUACCAUGAAGAUGAGCUCAAAUGGUUGCUUAAAAUUAGAGAGAAUCAAGUUGUGCCAACAAAACAAUGUUAAUUUUUUACCAUAUUAGGAAAAAUAAAAAUAAUGUAUACAUGGUAAUAAUGAAGGAUUAAUCAGUAAUACCAUAAAUUGACAAUAGACGACCCUUCAAUUUUUCUUAGUUUGUUCUUCUCAAGUGUUAAUAUUAUAUUAAUUUUGCCGACAUAGCAACACUAGCGGUUAUUGUUGUGUUAAGUUAAUUAAAAAUGUAAGGAGUGCCUAUAGAAGGGAUCCAUAUUCUAAGCUUUUGAGUGCAGUGAGUUUCUUCAAAUUUCUCCCUUCUCUUGUUGAUUUGUUUUGUUGUAUGGUGGGUAUGGAUGCUCAGCACUCUUAUCGUCAAUAAUGCUGUCGACAUUCAUGAUUAAAUAUAAUAAGUCCAUUACUUGAUUACUUUGUGAUUGCUUUAUUUAGUAAUGCAUAUUGCAUGGAAAAUUAAAUUCAACAACACUUAACUUUACCUAGUUUAAGAAUAUGACUGAUUAAUCUUGCAGUAUUUUAAACAAUUUCUUUAUUUGUAAUAUUUUUAAUUAUUAUAUAUGUUAAAUAGGAUAUCUUAUAUAAUUUUUUUUGAGAUAAUUAAUUUAUAAUUAUGUAAAUAAUAUAACAUUAUGUAAAUACUUAAAGUUGAACUGAGUUUAAGUUUAAUCUUCAUAAAUUUCAAUCAAAAUUAGCUUUGGCUUAUUCAUGAACAUAUUUAGGCGUAAAUUAUUGAAAAAAUUAAAUCAAUUGAAAAAUAAUAUUUUUUAAUGAUUUAUUUUUUUAUACAAAUUUAAUAAUUCAAAGUAAAAAAUGAUAGAAUUUUUUCUUUGAAAAAGUGUGGAAAAUUGUAAGUAUAUAAUAGUUACUUAUCACUUAAUGGAAAAUAUUUUUAAUUAUUUCAAAUUUAUUUUAAUUAUUUUAAUAUUAUAUUAUCCUAUAAAAAACUUUAUGUUUAAUAUUUAACUUUUAGUGAAGUUUUGAAAAUUUAAGGAUAAAAUUUAUAAUAUAAUUUUAACAAUUUAAUAUCUAUAUUUAUCAAAUAAUUUAAUUAUAUUUCAUAAUUAAUUUUGAAUAACAUAUUAAAUAAAUUUUAUAACUUAAAAUUUCAAUUUAUUAAACAAUAAAAGUUAACAAUAACAUCAAAAGGAUAUUUAACAUAUAAUUCAAAUCUAGUUGCUUUAAAUAUUGAUAAGCAAAGCAAACGUGAAAUGAAAAUUUUAAUGCUUUUAAAAUAUUUGGCUAAGGUAAAAAUUGUGGUGCCCAGAAAUAAGUAGUUUUAAUUACACUUAAAACGUUCUUAAAUGAAAGCUUUUGUAAAGAUUUACUCAGUGUAAAAAAGAGAAACACUAUACUCUUUAAAUUAAAAUGUUCGCUUCAAAUAAAAGUGAGAACUACAAGAUAAAUAAAUAGAAAGAGAGACAUAGGCAUAUCAAGAGUAAGUGUUCAAAGAUUCAAAUGGCUGCAACAAAAGAUAAUUUGAUUUUAGCUCAAUUUAUAUCUAAAAACAUUUUCUUAUUAAUAAGGUUACAUUCCAUUCUCUCACUCAAAAUAUUACAUAAUUAUACCCAGUUUUGAUGUCGUAAAAUACAUCCCCAAAUGACAAAUGAUUAUGAGAGAAGUUCCCAAUAACAUUUUGCAUUACUAUUGGAUCUCCAAUUUGUUUGGUACCGAAACACCACAUUCUAUGUCACAUCAAUCUACAUUUUUUCCUUCAAUAAAUGACCAAAAAAGGGAAAAAAAUACAAAAGGAGACGAUAUAUUGCAGUUCAUCAAUAUUCAACAAAAUGUAAAGAAAAAAAAAAAAGGAAAAAGAUUUACUUCCUGUUGGUUGCCUGCUUGCCCCCCAUCAUGCUCCCAAGGCAAUACCAAGACUCAUAGUUCCAGAUCGAGGAUGAAAAAUAGAGGGCAAUUUUACUCAAAAUCGUUGGAAACAUUCAAAUCCGAAAGCUUAGAUCGUGUAUACGUCUUCCAAGUUCACUUAUUCUGCUCCAACUAUUUAUGUAUGUUUUUUGUAUGUCCGAUGUAAAAGCGCUCGCUAUCCAACUUCAUGCGUUCUCAGGCCUGUAAUUAUGGAAUCAGUUAUAUGCAGGUUAAUAUAACAUAACAAAUGAUGAUAAAGAAGACCUGACACAUUGUCUAAAAUUCAGAAAACUCGUUAGUUCUUCAUAAUGAUUAGGAGCUUACAGUUGAAUGGGGAAUCUGAAGAAGAAUGAGUGAAGUGCAGUACAAACACACUGAAACGACUACUCCAGCAAUGAAAUUAUAUAGCAGCCGUCGGUUGUCUUUUGUGGGAAUGAAAACUGACUUAAGUUUAUUGGUCAAGUCGAACAGACGAUGAGAUAUCUGCAGAAGCAAGGCAAGAUGGUAGCAAAAGUGAGCAAGAUGAAUACAAUUGAAACUGUUGACAAAAUAUGGAAGAGAGGAGAGAAUUUGCUCACCAAGACAUAAAUAGCUGUUGUGAGCAUGAAGUUGAGUAGGGGAUAUUCCGGGAUAAAAGAAAGAAGCCACUUGGGCUGUCCAUUAGUCAUGUCUGAUCUGCAGGUGCGAAAUGCAAUUAUAACAAUCUUGUAGAUAUGUAAAUAUGUUAAUCUUACGUUGGCUUCAGUCCUUGUUGAAUUAUCAUGCUUUUUAUGAAGAAUCAAGAGAUGGAACUAGUUAUCCAGGAAAACCAAUUUCACUAACAGGCUUUUGUUUUAGAUAUAAUUUGAGGAACAGAUUAAAACAAGACGUUUAAAUGGUCAACAAACCUCAACCAGAUAUGAAAUUGUGAAAUGUAAGUCUCCAGAGUUAUCUUGCCAAGCCACCUAGGAAGCACAAAAAUGUAGCAUUAAUUAGAGCAAUGCUAAAAUAGCGCCAGAAAGUCCUCAAAAGGCAAAUCAAUAACCCACAGUCUAGUAAGAAAGCUGGAAUCGAAUGAAUUAGUUAUUUCCAGAAACAUACGCAAAGAGAGUCAAACUGUAACUUCGAAGCUGCUGAGUACAAUUCCGCAAGCAAAUGUAGACACUAGAAUCACAAGAAAGAAGACAUGGGAAUCAGAUUCUAUUUACAUGAUAUUCCUUGCACUUUCACAUAAACUUCCUCUAGUGUUCCAAGUAAACUAGAAAAAAGAUGGCAUUAAUACACACGUUAUAGGAAUCCAAGAUGUGUAUGGGUGAUAUUUGUUGUAAGUAACCUUGUCCAGCUUGUAAAUACAUUCAUACCACAUAUAGCCAACCUGAAGAAUUUAAGAAAUAAAAGGAAAAAAGCCUCCAUCAAAAACCAAAUAAGCAUAAUGGCAAUAUAGAGAUCUAGAGAUCAGGCAACUUACAAAUAAAGCAAUUGCAACAACACUUGCUUUGAUUGAAAAUUUUCUCUUGGUUUCACAUUCCUCCAAUUUUUCCAUCCAUUUCUCAACCUAAGAUUUAAAACAUUUCAAUGAAAAAGUUAAUUGUGCACAAAGAGAACUAGAUUGAUGAUUGAAAUUUUUUACUUACAUUUGGAUGAUAGUAGGCAUACAUCAUUCCAAUUAUCCAUACAUAGCGAUCCAGACCAGAUCUAAAAUGCCACUCAUGCAAUCGGUGGAGAUCAGGUUUUGCAGGAUCAGUGUACCCUGCCAUUUGAAGAGACAAAAUAACUGAUAUAAGCAAACAACUACAACAUAUCCCAGCAAAGAAGAAUGACUGGCUUUGAAAUAAGUAUAUUAAAAAUGAAGUUCAACUGAAAGUAUACAUAUUUAAAGCAAAGACAUUCCAACUUUAAUGCAAUAAAAAGAAUAAAAAAUAUUGAAGCAUAUCGAAAGGCAUCAGAAAAGGACAUGAAUAUUCUAAGCUGGUUGAUAAACAAAUAAAAAUCAGAAGAAUGAAGUCAGAAGGUUGCAAACCUAAUAGGAUAGCUAGUGGACUCCAGAAUAUUUCAAAAACUCCAGGAAUUUCCCAAAUAAAGAUAACUACAAGAAAGCAUGCAAGAAUUUUCACAGCCAUCACCGAUGGUAUCUCAUUAUACUUGUUGAAAAUCCCAAGAGCUCCAUACACCAUUACGGUGAAAAGCGUGUGCAUUGGGCAGAUGUAGUAAAGCAUGUAGUCAUUGUUGAGAACAAUACAACAAAAUGCCACAAAGAAGUUUAGUCGCCACAUCAUCUGCAUUAAAUAGAAGUUAUAGAAGGAUAAGAGGUUUACUGAUAUGCAUAAAGUGGAUAUAUAGUAUAACCCUUAAUAACUGGAAUGCUGGAAUGGUAUAGCGUAUCACCUGAGCAAAACGUGCUAGGCUAAAGUCCUUUCUGAUAUAAUAGUAUGAGAAGUUGCCAAAUCCCGUCAUCCAAACAUAUGCAGCAAUGAAGACACGUAUUGCAUUAUAUAUCUCCGCCGCAGCAAAAUAAUGGUACAUUAGAAAUAGCACCUGCAAAAAGCCCCUCCAAUAAAAGACAUGUGAAUACAGCUGAAUUUAGUACAGAAUAAGUAAUCUGCAGAGAGCAUGGAUGCCAUGCUACUGCAAACAUAAGCAAUCUCAUAAAUCAGGAAUUGGUGCAUGGGAACAUCAGUGCAGGUCCAAAGACAGAAUACUCAUAUCAAUUAUCAUAAAGCAUUUCAUACGAUAGUUUCACAAUUUAUAGGGAAUAUGCUUAUCAAUAUUAGAACAAAUGAGCAAGAUUAAGAAAAGCCAAUGAACAACUGUUAAGAUUAAAUAUAUGGAUCAAAAUUCAAAUAAUGAUUUAGGUAGCUAUUACCAAACAGAAAAAAGGUACUGCGGCAGAAAGUUAUGACAUUGACCUUUUCCGAGAUUUAAAAAUGAAAUUACGGUAUUGAGGAAAGUAAACACAAAAGGAACAUAAGGAAAUAUAAUCUAAAUACCACCUUUUCAAAAUUAGGUGAUUGGAAGGUGCCUAUGCUUCAGUAGUUACUCAUUCACAGGUUACAAGUUAAACAAUUAACACUUGCCUGCAUCCAUCCUUUCCAUUCUUCAGUCUGAUGCCUACUAAGGUACUGCAUGGUCUUUCCAGAGAAUGCUGAUUUGUCACUAUGCUUCGUCAAAGAAGUCAUUGCAGAAACUAUGAUGAGAAGAGCAUAGAGAAAGAGGAAAAGGUCGCGGUUGUAUUUCUGUACAAGGAAAUACACAUAAGAAAUCAUAUUGAGAAAAACAAAAGAACAAAAAAACUUUUAAUGUUAAUCAACAUAAGAAAGCAAAGUACCGACUCUCAACCUACCAUAAAUGUGAAAAUAUACAGCUACUUUAAACCAUUUAAAGAGGAAAAAAAUUAGCCAUCAAACAUUUCCAACCACCAGAGAAGUAAAUAAUUUCGGACAAUGUAUGGUAAUCCUUUAUUUUGAACUAUAAGCAAAAGGACAUAGUGGUCAAAACCUGCUUAUUAAAGAAGUAUCAAAUAUUUACCCAAACCAGAGGACCCAAGAAAGGAUGCAAGUACAUGGGAAGAAAAAAGGUUGUUUAUCAUUCAACUAAAAGGAAAAUGAGGACAACAAACAAUGAGCUUCAAGGGUAGUGGAAUGCAAAAAGUAAUUGAAGAGACUUUUAAGAGACUAGUAAACCAAAACUAAAGCCUCUUUCUGUCAUUUUGAAGGGGAAAGGAAUUAAGAGAAAACCAGAUGGACAUAGAUAAAAGUAGGAUACCAACAUAACCAGAAAGCACAAAAUAAUAUAACUAUAAAUAAUAAUGAAAAUGAGGACCCUAAUAAGUAUGCAGAUGCAAUAGUAUAAUGUUUAUAACUAACAUUGCUCUCAACCACAGAUGAAAGCAUGAAUUACAAUCAACAACACAACCAGGUAUAAAAGCACCUUGGUAGAUUCACCUAGUAAAUCUGUCCGAUCACAUAUGUAGAAGUACACCAGAAUAGCCCCAAACUCGGCCCUGCAUUAGAUUGCGUAGUCAAAUAUAAGACAAAAACAGAAAGCUGCCAAAAAAAGUGUCUUUCUGUUUAUAACUAACAUUGCUCUCAAAGUGGUUCGGUGUUCCAGAAGGAAAGAGUCUUCCAUGGUCAAAAACCUGGAGUCAUAAAUGGUAAGAUGAGUUUAGAGUACAAUCAUGGAAAACCAUAACAACACUGAAACUUAAAGAAAGCAACCUAAUCAAGUUUGUUCUGAUGGAUGAAGCAUGGAGCUUAGUAGAUGCUGAUCUUGUUAGACCCCCUUCAAGCAAAACAGCCCUGUCAUCUUCUUUAAUUGUCUCCUUUCCUAAUACAACCAGAUUACUAUCUGAAUGGCUGCAAAUGAAACACCGUCAUUAGCAUCAGCAAAUAUUGAAGUCAAUAACUCUAAAGAAUAGUGAUAUAAGCGUAACAAAUUUGUGCACCCGCGCUAACUCCUACUUGAAAUGAUUACUUACGCUUUAGAAAGAGAUGCCGAUUUCUUGUAUUCUAGGAACUCUGAAUAUAUCCAUGCAAUGAAAACUGGGAUAACUCCUAAGAGAAAAGACACCUGUAACAAUUAUAAAAAAAAGGCUUCAUUAAGUAUUUUGGGUAAAACUAGUCAUAGAAGAACAAGUUGAUCAGUUUAAAUAUAUAUAAAAUAUUAUAAAAUAGUAAGAACAAGUGACAUAAGUUAGAAUAGUGGAGUGAAAUAUUCACAUAAUGCAUGAUUAUAGAAGUUUAAAAGAUGAAAAAUAAAAGCCCAAUUUGAAAUAGAUGUUGAAAUAAUUAAAAUGCCACUCCUGCAUUAUAACAAUUGCGCGUAAGUUCUUUUGAUAAAAUAUCAAGUAAAACUUCAUAAACUUCCCAAUCUCAUUCACAGUUUCACUUUGAUUUCCAUUAUGAACACCAGUAUCAUCACAACUAACCAUAAUUCAUCAGAUUCUCCAUACACAUUGUGUCACUCAGUUGUGAGUCAAAUCUUUUCACACAUCAAACCAAGCAAGCCACUUAUGUAAAUCUAGUAACCAUAGAACUUUCAUAGAUUCUUAGUAGAAACAAGAAAUUUAACCCUCAAAAGUCAGAAGUCAGAAGUAUCAUCAUUGUUAAUCUCAAAAGAAAAAGAUAAUUUUCUACAAACAAACACGAGCUUAUGAGUAAGCUCUGAAACUCUAUAGAAAAAAAAUGAGGGGGCCUGAAUCUUAGAUACUUCCUUAAUAACGAAACAAAAUAAACAGAAUCCAAAAUUAGUAUAUAGAAAUCCACAAAUUCAAUAAUUGCAAAAAAAACAACUACAAAUGUUUUCAGCUAAUAAAUCACAGUGUCCAAAUUCAAAAGAUUUAAAAAAAUCUCAAAACUAAAUCUUAACUUAAACAAAAAAAAAUCAAUGAAUCAAUAAAAUUCUAAUUCGAAACCGUACCUGUCCAGGCGUAAUUGGCCCAGAAACCACCAUUUCUUUUCUGGAUCAAACAAUAACCUCCUCCAACUGUGAAAUUUGCAACAGCACCGAAUUAAACCAAUCCUCAAAAAAUGCAAAGUCUAAAUUAAAAGUGAGAAGGAAAAACAAAAGAAGAAAGAAUAGUUACCAAAGAAAGAGAAAACCAAUGAGUAGAAUAGAGAGAUUGUGCUAGGACAUGCUCAUAAAUACAACGCCUAAAACAAAUUUAUGUUUUAAUAAAAUAAUAAAAUAAAGGGCGAAUUGAAUAUUUGUAGACGAAGGAGAUCUCUAACCAGCUUGCUUCAAGAAUAGAGAAAAGAAAGGAAAAAAAAAAAAACUUCAGAUAUGACGUCGUUUUCACUCUCUCAAACGGUUGUUGUUGCCAUGGUUGCUGUUGUUUGCUUGGGUCUCUUGUUGCUAUUUUGCUUUCAGCUUUGUGCGCGUUAAUGUGAUGUGAGAAAAAUAAGAGAGAAAACAUAAAUUAUUUUAAAAAAGAAAAACAGAAAUUUCUAAAAUAAUUAUUUCCAGCAGAUUACAGCUGCUACAGAUAGAAUGUUUCCUUUUUUCUUCUAUAAAAACAGAUUGAAUGUUUAAUUAAAUUAUACAUAAUAAUAGUCCAGUGAGUUAGGAUUAACAUUCUAAUUUAAUUAUCUUUAUGUAUUUUCUAUUAAAGCUUCUUUAGCUCAACUUUGGUAAUAUUGUAAAUUAUUAACAGUGUCAAAAUUUAAGCAUUUUCUAAUUUUUAUAAAAAUUAGUAUAUCCUUUUUUGGUAAGAAAAUUAACGUAUUUUUAUUAAAUUUAAUUAUUCAAUUUAAUAUAAAAAUGAAAAUACAAUGUAUAUUUUAAUUUUAAAAGAUACAAUAAUCUAAUUAUUAAUCUGUCGUUAAAGAAAAUGGAUAUUGGGUCAUUACUUUCUUAUAAUUUUAAGGCAUAAUAAUUUUUUUCGUCCUCCAACUUUAUAAAAAAUUAUUUUAACUCUUCAUUUAAAAUUUCAUUACUUUUAACCCUUGAAUUUACUUUAAAAGUAAUAUUUUUAACUUUUCUGACAUGAAAUACAUAUAAAUUGUCACAUCGAUAACUGUUAGUAUUUCGUUAAUUUUUUAAAAUUUUAAAAAUUCAGAAAGUUUAUAAAACUCGUUUUAAAAAUCAUUAAAAUUAUUUUUAAAAAAUAUAAAAAUUAUUUAAAAAACAUAUUUUAUAUUUUAAAAAUUAAUUAAAUGAUGGCAUGUCAUUCAUUUGGCAGUUCACGUGUUUACCACAUUAGAAAUAUUAAAAAAAGUUAAUUUUGUCAUUUAUUUUAGGGUGAUUUGAUAAUAAAAUGCAAGUUUUAAGAGUUAAAAAAAAGAUGAAAAAUUAAAUGAAAGGCUAAAAUAAUUUUUUUUAUAAAGUUAGAAGAUCAAAUAAUUCAAUAUACCUAAUUUUAAUAUAUUCUGAACGGAGGGUGGACCUGAUGUGAAAACUUAACAUAGACCUUCAUCGUGGGCCAUUAAAAGGCUAAUGAUUUUGCUUUCUUACUUUGAUCGAAGUUUAAUUGAAUUUUGAUUUCGAUUGUUACGGAAUAUCGUCAUUGCAAAGUGAAUCGCACUAAUGUGAUAGACAAUAAUUGAUGACAAGUCAUAUUUUAUUGAUAUAUAAGAGACGUUUGAUUUCAAUUCUCAGCCGUCCAUCAUAAAUACUUUUGAUUUGCAAAAUUGACCCUUAUAAACCUAUGGAAACCUUGUUUUUGACCUUUCUGCAUGUAAGGGUCCGUUUGAUUGCCAGUAAAAUAUUUUCCGUAAAAUGAUUUCUGGAAAAGGUUUUACUUUUCUGUAAAAUGACUUACUGAAAAAUAUUUUCUGGUGUUUGAUUGAAUCUGUGUAAAAUAUUUUCUGCUAUUUGGCAGAUUUCCUGAAAAUAUUUUCCGGAAAAUUUAUUUUUACAUAUAUUAAUAUAUAUUAAUAAAUAUUUAUAUUUUAAAUUAUUUUUACAUAUAUUGCAAUGAUUUAUUUAUAAAUAAAUAAAUAAAAUUAAAUAUAUAAUAAUACUCAAUUAUUAAGCUACAAUAUUAACCGUCAUAAAUUGAAAAUAACCAAAGUCAAAUAAAUUAUUUGUAAUUGUGUUAAAAAAACAAAAAAAAACAAGGGUUGAAUACUUAUAAAUUUAGCUUCCAAACCACAAUUAAAAAAAUACUAAUCUAUGCAUUUAUUUAAACCAUAUAAGAUGUAUUUACCUACCAAUAUGAAACUUUGAAUCUUUUAAACAGAUUCAGCAAGACCAAAAUGUUAAACAAAAGAAAAGACAUAUUCCAAAUCCUUAGUAAAUUGUUAUAGACUGUGUUUGGCGUAACUGCUUAAGUGCAUCUACUAUCAAAUUGCUAGCCACUUACAACUAAAAAAAUGGCAAUGUCUGCUGCCAGGAAGCUUGCUGGGUUCAAAUCAAAACACACAAAAACCAAAACUUAGCCUAAAUAAUCUAAUCAUAAAACACUACUCCGACUGUUAGCGUUGCAUUAACUGAUUCACCAUCUGCUAUCAAAUUGCUAGCCACUUGCACCUUUCUUUAAUAAGACUUUGAUUACUUCCAGAUGGGACCCUUGAACAGUAUAGUGAAGUGGAGUGAAUCCCUUGCGAUUAGUGGCUCUCACUGAAACUCCUGAUGAAAGCAGAGUUCAGACAACCUCUAGAUGUCCUUUCUACGCCGCAAAAUGAAUCGCACCCAUGCCAUCCAUGGCAGCAGCACCAACAUCAACAUUUUGCUUGCAAAGAUAACUCACUACCUGUGCUUGCCUUUUGGAAGGCAAAAACAUAUACAGAUGGAUAUUCUGAACAACCCAAAAGAACAAUGUUGUCACGGGGCAGAAUUGAAGUUAAAUAUCCAGGUAACUAUCAUGAUAUUUGAAGCCAAUAAGAUAACAACCUCAAGACAUAGAUUCAACUUCACAUCAACCUCUAAAAUGCUUCAGACAUAUUUGUGUCCCAAGUAAUAUGAUUUAUCAUAGUAGCUGCAAAAUUCAAAGCAACAUUAAUAGUUACAACAUGGUACCAAAUACUUGCUUUAUAUAGCACAACAUGCAUUCUUAAAUAUUUUGAAAAGAAAAAUCUUCAUAGGCUGUCCAUCUUAAUUCUGUUAUCAAGGAUACAACCGAAUGAAAUCUAUCCAAGCACACACAAAAAACAGGUCGUACCCAAUGCACAAGGAUCUUGGCUAUAAAUAGGGGCAGGUCUAAUGUAUGCUGCCUUCCCCUGUUCACAAAGGUUGUUUCAAGGUUUGAACCCAUAACCAAGCAGAUAGCAAGUCAGGGACGACCUUCAAAAUCUUGCCUAUUAAAACACAAAACUUGUAGCUAUAGUUUGUAUCCAAUUGGGUGAUAAGAGGAUAGCAGCUAUGGACCAAAUGAAAAGUUUAGCCAUAGUCUUUAAAAUCCAAAAGGGCAUACAUUUUAAGUUUAAAAUGAUUGGUUUUCAAACAAUAGGUUUAACACUAUGAAACAAGCAUUUUAGUCCAUCUAAACAACAUCUGUCACUCUAAAUAAAACCAAACCUAUAUUCGCUCAGAGGUAUACAAAUGCCAUAAUAAGUACCUGAAAAAUAGUCAUUUUGGCGUUCCACAACAUCUGAACCUUGAACUGCAUACAAUUUUAGCAACAAGUAUAUACGCAAUUUUCAACAGUCAUCAAACAGAAUAUGAAUAACAGUAACCAUUUUCUUUGUAAUACUUGAAAAAUCUUUCAUUUUCAGGAUUCAGUGAAAAUAGACAUUCUCAUUCUCAUCUAAUAAGCACAAUAGCAAAAAUUAGCAUUUUGAUAUUGAUGUUACUUAUUAAUGUGUAUGCUUCUGAUUUGUGACCAACUAGAAAUCAGCAUGACAGAGCACUGAUGUCUUUCCAUACAGUGUAAUUUUCAUAGAUUAAUCUGUUCAAAUUUUGAGCAUUCUUCACUUUUGCUAUAGAGGCUUCAACGCUAAGAGGAAUCACUAGAUGAUGCAUUUUUUGGAUGACAUAAAAUUUUCAGUAGAACUUAGCAGUGUACUUGCAAAAUAUAAACUCUGCUGACAGGUUCUGAAUGCUAAAUGAGUUCUUUGCAUUUAUUUCCUUUUCUUUUCAUUUUUCCUCUUCACUGUAAGCAAACAUUUUACCCCCACCUUACUUUUACCUUACAGUAUCUAAAAUGUAGGAUCAAAGCUCACCUUGCAAGAAAAUAACUCAACAAUGCAGUCUUCUUUUGUGGGGAUCACUCGCAAGUCAAGUACAGGACUUGCUUCAAAGUUGAAGAGCGCAAGUUUUGGAAGUUUGCACCUGAAGAGCAUCGAAGAACAUAUAUAUAAUCAACAGAUAAAGAAGAUGAAGAUAAAAGGCAUCAAAUUAAGCCCUGAGGUUAGAGCUUUAGAAUGAAUGAGAAACUUGGAAUAAGUCAAUUAAAAAAAAACAGUUCCUUGAUAGCCAAAGCAAAAAAGAGAUUAUGACUGAAUAGAUCAAAUUUCCUUUUUCUUCUCUGACCUCUCUUCUCAAGAUUCAGCCAUAGAAGCUGGAAAAGCACAAGAAAUACAAAGAAUGGCAGAAGGAACUAGACUCAAUACCCAUUCUAGAUUCAACUUGUAACACCCCUUAACCCCGAACCGUCGCCGGAACAGAAUUACGAGGCAUUACCGGACGUAUCGAACGAUUUACAACAAUUCUUAAAUAAAUAACCAAUAUAUUAAAAUAAUUCAUAAAAUUUAUUAGUUUGUUUACCAAAUGACUUCAUUUUUUCAUUUUUUUUUAUAAAAAUUUCGGCAGCAUUUCUGCUUAUUUUUACAUAAAACCCCCUGCAAAUUAAAACCAUAUAGUUCCCAAAUAUCAUCAAUUCAACCAAUUAAUUUCACAUUCACAUUUUCUAUUCUAAAUACUUCUAAUCAAACUCAAUCUACACAAUAUCAAUUUAAAAUUUAACAAUGUACUAAUUAGAUAAAAUAGAUAGACUUCUUUCAUUAAAAUCCAUAACCUUUUAAUACUAACAUUUUUAACCAUUAUAUAAUAAAACAUAAUAACCUUUAUACACAAUCUAUGUACAUGCCACCUUUACCAAAGGAAAAAUACAUCACCAAGUUUUGCCGAAGCCGGGAUUAAUCUGGAUGCUGAACCGGGACCUUUGACUUCUAUUAACCUGCGCACGGAAACAACCGUACGCUGAGUAAUUCAUACUCAGUGGUAUUACCAUAAUUCAAAUUAUAACAAUAAUGUACAUGUAAUGCAUAAAUCGUAUAUACAAUUUAAAUUAAAUAUUUCAACAAUAGCAAUUCAUCAACCAAUAUCGUAUAUCCACAAUUUGAGUUUGAAUAAUUCACGAACCUUAGGUUCAUUUCUCAAUCUCAUUUCACAUUUCAAUUCACAAUUCAACUUUUUCAUAUCAUUUCAAUAGCUCGUUUGACCAACUCGUUCGGUUUAUCAUUUCAUCAUUUACCCUAUUAACAAAACUCGGACUUUGGCGGAUACACGGAUCCAACCAAACACACCAGAAUGGCACCCAGUGCCUCAUCGGAUAGUUCGAAGCAAUAGUUGACACCCAGUGUCUCAUCGGCCAAGCCGAAGAAAGUUGGUACCCAGUACCUCAUCGAAUCUAUCCGAAGAAAUAUAGUGACACCCAGUGUCUCAUCGACUCGAGGUCGAAGUAUCCCUGAACUCUUCCAAUCCUAUGGCAUGCCAACUAUAUCCGACUCAGCCCGACUAGUUAAUAGGGUAUUUAAAUCACAUAUAUUCUCAAUUCAAUUACAAUUUUUCACAUUUUCAAUUCAAUCAUUUUUCCACCUUUCAAUCAAUAAUUAUUUCACAACUUCACACAUUUUCACAACUCAAUACAUUUCCAUACAACUUAAUACCAUUCACAAUUCGAUUCAAAUUCAUUUCCCGCUUUCAAUCAACAAACAAUUUAAAUAUUAUUUCAUAUCAACUAUUCAAUUUAAUUCCCACUCAUAAUAAUAAUAAUAAUACUAAUAAUAAUACUAAUACUAAUAUUAAUACUUACCUCACAUUUCAUUUACUAGACACAUAAAUUAAAAUUUAACAUUAAAAAAUAAAUAAUUUGAAUUAUAGUAAUACAAACCGUAAUUUUCUCGAGUUUACUCCUCGAUAAUCUUCUCUUUUCCCUUCCGUGCCGACGCUUCUGGUUCUUUGCUAGCUACGAAAAUGAUAAUAAUUUAUACUAUUAAUUUCAGCACUAAUUAUGAUAAUAAUUAAAUUUCUAUUCAAUUUCUUCCUUAUUCUCAAUUUAAUCCUAACUAAAUUCACUUACUUUCCUAAUUCAAUUCACACUCUAUUUCUAUUCAAAUUUCAUCCAAACUAAAAUUUAACUAUCACAAUUUCAGCAUAUUUUGGUAAUUUCGAAUUUCCCUCAAUUUAGUCCCUAAAACAUAAAACUUAUAGUUUCUUUUACAAUUUAAUCCCUUUUUCAAUUCUAACUUAAAAUUCCUUCAAGUUAAUCCCUAAUUCAUCUCUUUUGUUCGACAUAAACUAUACUUGAAAACCUAUGAACUUACAAAAUAUCAACUUAAUUCCAUCAAAACUUUGUUUUAAAGCUUUUAGAACAUUAGAAUUAAGAGGAAAGGGCUAAUUUGACUUACCAAAUUAAAUUCAAGCUUCAAAAACCAUAUUUUCCCUUUUUCUUUUUCUUUCUUUCUUUCUCCCCUGUUUCGUCUCUUCCUCUGUUCCUUUGUUCUUUCUAUUCUGUUUCUUUUCUGUUUUGUUUCUUUCUUUUUCUUUUUAUUUCCUUUUAUUUAAUUACUUUAAUAUAAUAAUAAUUAAAACAAAUAUCUACUUAGUAAUUAAUAAAAAUAUUACAAAUGUAUGUAUUUUAUUAAUACACUUGUAUUAAAUUAUCACCAUACAUUUGUCUUUAUUUAAUUUAUUUCUUAAUAUAAUAUUUAUAAUGUAAUUAAUUUAAUAAUAUACUUUAUAAUUAAUUUAUAUAUUUAUAUAAAUAAUAAUAUAAAAAUCUAAGAUUUUUACAAUGUUAUGUCGCCUCAACUUCCAAAUGUGGCUUAAUUGUCCAUUUGGUCCCUAUUAUUUUCCUUUAAUCUAUAAUUAUGCUUUCACUCUUUAUUCAAUUUAAUUCUUUUUACUAAUUACUCAUAAUUAAACUAAAUUCACCUAUCUAAAACUUAAUUAAACACACAACUAGUCUCGUAAAUAUUUCUAAUAAUUAUUUUCGGACUCAAUUUACUAGGACGGAGGCCCGAUAUUAUAAUUUUCCGAUGCCCAUGAAUUUUGGGUCAUUACACAACUGGACACACUUAAGGAAUCUAAUAACCAGAAUUAGAGAGAGAAAAUUCUGUAUUAUAUUAAACAAAAAUUAGAGAGAAAAGGAAGGAAAACAGAAUGCAGAGGUAAAAUAUUAGAGAAAUAUGCAGAUACCUCGAGGAGAUUAGAGAUGAAUUUUUCUCGACUGUGGACCUUAAUUUUUUAAGGUUUCUUCAAAAUACAGAGGUAAGGCUGACGGUCGAGCGACAGAGACGACGAUGCUGAGAUGGUGAGGUGAGGCCAACGAACGGAGAUGAGGAGCCGAAGGAAGAUACAGAAAUGAAUCAAAGAACAACAUGACAGAUCACAUCUACAUUGAGGAGGACGUGACGGUCAGACGACGAGAGCUUCGAUUGGGGGGAAUUGAGUUUUUCUUGGGCAUGGGAACAACCGAUCAAGGAUGGGGGAAGGGGAAGGGGAAGGGGAAGGGAAAUGGAAGAUUUGUGUUCUUUCUAAUUUUCCUGAAAAUGUCUUACCGAAUUAGAAACGGUAAGACAUUUUCCAAAAUUAACACCUUCUUUUCCCGUGUUUUGUAAUUGGUUUUACAGUAUGAAAAUAUUUUCAGCCAAUCAAACACCGAAAAUUUCAGAAAAUUUUACACCAAUCAAACGGACCCUAAAAGUGCAUAUUAAGGAACCCACUCUUCUUUUUCGAUCAAUUGAUUAACUUGAGAAAUUACCUCACUUUGGUCUAUAAGAAAAUUAAAUUUCAUCUCCAGAUUAAUUCAUAAAGUGAUACGUUUCAGAAUAUAAUUUUUAAAAAAAAUGAAUAUAUGAUCAUUCUAAAUUUUAUUUGCGAAAUUAAAAAUAUAUAUCAAAUCAAACCUUGGAAAUUUCUGUUUUUUUUUUUCUGUUCCUUUUGUUUGGUAUGGAGUUAGAGCUGUAGUUGCAGGCUGAAAAUGAUGGGCAGAUGCUUUAGCUUGACCCAGUUAGAUAGUCUAUUAAUCUUUCUUUUGAAUCUAAUCUUCAUUAUAAUCUCUAAAUGAAUUGUUGGAAAAGCUGUGGAACUUUUUGGGGAAGAAAUAAUUUGUACAAGUGUAAAUAUAUAUAUAAGUAAAAUAAAAUUAUUAACAUCGUAAAGCAAUUUGACCUAAAAUUCACACGUGCAUUAUCUACAUAUGAUAAUAUUCAAAUAUAAUAGUAUCAAAAUUAUAUUAAUGAAAAGUUAUGAAAAGAUUUUUAAGAUUGUAAAUUUGUAAUAUAGUAUAUCAUCACCAACCCAAAUUAUCCUGCUAAUGUAAAUCAAAUUUAAAAUAUUGAUUGCCCUUUAAUUUUCUUCUUGAAAUUUGGUGAAAUACAAUGUUCCCCACAAUUCUCUCUUACUCCUGUAAAUUACUCAUUAAAAUGGCCCACUGUUAAAUUAAUUUGAAUUUUUAAAGUUUAUUUCUUUCUUUCUUUCAACAAGUCUGUAUUAGGAGCAAAAUGUUAAUUCUGACUCUUGAUCCAUAUAUAUAAUUUAUAAUUACUAGAUUGGUUGGAAUUAAUUAGGGAUAGUCAUCAUUAUUACAAACAAUCUGUGUAAAUCAACUGUUUAUUUUAUUACAUGCUAAGAAGCCAUCGAGAUACCUCCUUCAGAAACUAGUAACGACAACAAUAAUAGCAAAAAGAAAACAACCGUAUUAGUAUUUCAAGUCGAUAUCAAAUAUUAUUUUUAUUAGUUUAUAAUUGAUUUCUUUUUUCUAUUAUAUAUAAAAAAACCAUAUUUUUACCCAAAAAAAUAUUAUUUAAUUAACCCUUUAAUUUAUAUUAAUUUGGAGUACUGUUGACUUAUUUAUGCUCGAUGUUCAUACUUGAAUUUGAAUUUGGGUAAGUAUUCAGUAGAUAUGAAUUUUAGUUAACUAGUUUAGUGACUGUUUUUCUUGGAUUAGUGUGUAGGCCAAAAACCACCUUAUUCACUGGAUUAAGCAUUUUUAUAUUAUUUGACUGCAUAUUGAAUUAUAUAUUCAACGCUGUUCAAGUUAGGGAGCUGAGCUGAAGGAGGAGCAGGACCAUAUUUGUUUUAUUUUAUUUAAGCUAUAUUUUUGGUGAUCUCAACACGAAACCAAGUUUCUAAUAAUUUCGUUCAAGACUUGACUGAAACGUGGCUUCUACGUCUCUCAAGUCAAAUUUAUAACAACAUCAUAAAUGAUAGGCACUUACAUUAAUUUCAAUUAAUUAACUACUCCAUGCUAUAGGAAUAAAUUUAUAAUUAAAAUAUUGAGGAGAAGAAUCUAUCAAAUUAAGGGGACGUUAGGUCAUUUGCCAUGAAAAUUUUAAAUCUAAUAAUUCAUAGUAUAUAGAAAGUUUGAUAUCUUUAAUUCAAUUGGUGCUCUAAGAGUUUAAAAACUGUAAAUUCAAACAUGCUCUACUAAUUCAUUUUAUUAGUACCAUCUGAUGGUUUCAUAUUAAUUAUUCAUUUCAUGUUACAUGCGGUGUUCAAAAUUAGGUUUUCACUAUAAGCCACUUUUUAUUUGUAUAUAUAUGGUUUAGGACUAGGAUCCAGCCUUAUAAAGACAGGAUGAUGACUCAUAACUUUCUCAUUCAGCUCAACUUUAGUGGUUGUUUUUUUCUCCUGCUGCUUAAUUAAUUAAUUAGCUCUUAAUUUCUGAGUAGAGUUCAGAUUAUAAGCUAGAUAGCCAGCUCAAGAAAAGUUUGUAGUAAAGGAAAUUUUAAGGUAUAUGUAAUGCUCAAAUUCUUCACUAAAAAUGCCAUCAAGGAUAAUGAUAUAUAAUACAACUACGCAUAUAAAAUGCAGUUUAAUUAAUCCAGUAUUACAAGCCUGCAAAUCCUCUUAAUACUAGGUUUCUUGUUCUUCAAAAAUCAACCAUAUUAUGUCUGACCUUCACCUCCACAUCCCCCCUAUCAAAGAAGCUUUUACCUCUAAAUGUUUGUUACAGACUCAAAACCAAGUUUCAAGAAGAAAAAAAAGAAGAAGAAAUCCUACUCCCCAUCUAGUCCUUGAAUGUUAGGCCUUUCGAGACCAGUAAUUGAAUAAUAAUUCAUAGGCUCUAGAGAGAAGUUCAAUUUGAUGAAAAAGUAGUUAAAUCCUAAAUAUAUAAUAUAAAUAUGUACACACACAAGGCGUAAAAAGAUGAUGUAAUUAAGCGAGUGGAGACUCAUGGUUCAUGUUUAAGGAACGUGGAAGGAACCAUGUCUUGAAGAAGUCCAUAGUCAGGAACCUGGUGUUGAUGGACGUACUGAUGAAAAGGGCUAAAGUUUUCGGCAAACAUUGAACCAGCGGGUGCUUGGUUAUUCAUCUGAUGAUGAUAGUUAGGCAUCUGCAUGAGCAACUCGUGCGGGAAGCUUGGUCUCCCCAGUGGCGAUGGGGUUAACAUGGAAGGUGGGAACAUGGAAGGUGGGAACAACCCAGCUGCGCUUCCUCUCAGUGUUGUCGGAAGUGGGUGGUUGUGUUGACCUUCGUAUGUUGUGAUCACAGUGGACGGAUCCUGGAAUGACCUCUCUACUCUUUUCUUCACCGUGCACUUCUGAGUAGUGCACCUGUAGUAGCUUCUGCAAUGAUAAACAGAAAUGUAUCCCUUACAUAAUGAUAAAGAAGCUGGAUAAAUUUUCACCAGUGGAAGCACGAGUUGGUGUUUGUUUCCCGAGAAAAUCUAAUCAUAUUCACACACAUACAUACAUAUUAUUUAAGCCUACUUUAUAGCUUUCAAAGACAAAUACCUAACGGCUAAACCCUCAAGUUAUUACGUACAGAUUAAGUUUCUAUAUUGACGGAUCAUCUAGGUGCAAGUCAAAAGAAGGGGGCGAGAAGAUGUAAUGCAAGAUCAAGGUUUCAGACACAAUUUCGCAAGUAGUUUCUUUAGUUGAUUGUCUAAAAGAUAAGAUUAUUUUCAACAUAUGUGUUUGGUUGUAGAUUAAGAAAACGAAAGAACCAAACCUCGGGUAUGGACUGUUUUUCACAGCUUUUUGUCCAUAUUUUCUCCAUCUAUACCCGUCUUCUAACUGAUCAACUUCACUUUUAGUUACGAAAGCAAAUCGUGGUUCUCUUUGCUUCUUCUCCCCUUUCAUUUUCGCUUUGUUUCUAUUAGAUACAAUAAACACAACCAGUUACAACCUCAUAAUUUGUUACCAAUAAUAUUAUGAAAAAGAAGAAAAAAAAAAAAGAAAAGAAACUUAGUUCGUUUACCCUUUCUUUGAGCUUUCACCGCCAUCGUCCGAUCCUUUUGGCUGCCCAUCUUUCUUACUCUUGUCUGAAUCUUCUUCGCAACCAGCCUCACUUGAUGAAGAAGAAACAGAAGAAUUAAGAGUCACCGUAACUUCACCGGUAUUGCCUCCUAAUUCAUCCGCCCCAACGUGCUGCUUCAUCAUUGUCCGAUUGCCGCCUUCGACGGAAGAAAACACUUCCGACGACGUAGGUGACAGACCGAAAGCUUUCUCAAGUGAACCGUAGUCCAUGGAAGUACUGUGUAAGCAAUCGGUGAAGCUCAUGUAGGAAGGAUCAAUGGAGGACGAUGAAACCCUGUACAUGUGAUCAGUUUCACCACCAUAACUUUGCUGAUCAUGAUCAAUAUUGUUGAAUGCACCCCCAUGGUAGUAAAAGUCUCUGAAUCCAUGAUCCGACAUGGAGAGAUCGAUCAAGAAGACGAAUAACAAAAGAAUCAAGGGAAAAAAAGUUGGAAGGGAUAGGAGAGAGCUGGGGUCUGAAAUAUUUUAUGGUUUUGGACUUUCAGGGUUUCAGGACAUCUCUUUAUGUUGUUUGAGUCAUAUAAAUACAGACAUAUAGACAUUUCAGCCAAUAUACAUGUAAAAGUCGUGAUGAAAAGAUAUAGAGAUAGAAAGCACUGUAUAAAAGAAGGUUUGACAAAACACCUUCCAAUAGGAAGAGCAAAAAGUGGCUUCUAGUAUGGAAACAUUUCCAGUCCAUACUUGGCAUUCCCUGACCCACACUUUGUAGUCACCCCCCUUAAUUAGGUCUUAGCCCUUCUUUUUUCCUAAACUCUCAUCUGCCGGACUGUGUGCGAAUAUAUAUUUUCUAAAAAGUUGGUUUAUAUACAUUAUCUGUAAAUUUAAUUUGGUUUACAAUAAAUUUCUAAUUUUGUAGUACAAUUUUGUACAAUAAUAAAAGAAGGUGAAAAUUAAAUGAGAAAAAAGAAAGCAUGAAAUUUGGGUUUUUUUGGACAAACAAAAUAAAAGGGUUAAUUAUUGUUUAAUAAUAUUAAAUUACCGGUUAUAAAUUAAGAAAUCUAAAAAUGUUUGAAGUCUGCACUGGGGAAACAAUUUAUCAUCUAGGAGUUCAACCUGACUCGCGUAAGGAAAAGAGGAUAAAAGAUUAAAAAGGAAAAAGGAAGGAGAGUGGGAGAACGCGCUAGAAAGGAGCGUGGGGAUGCGGAGGAGAAGUCAGCGAAGAAUACCAGUAAGGGGUUACAAUCAAGGGAUGCCUUUUUAGGGGACGAUGAAAAAGAGGACCCAAAGAGAAAAUAAAACGGUCAAACAUUCAAACUUGAAGAACUAUUAAUAGUUUUUUUGGAAUAUUAGGCAUACACGUGGCAUUAUUGGCACCGGCAUUUGACCGUAGCAAAACCAUCAUCCGGCACGUGGGGGAAACCUUUUUGCUGCUUCUGCUUAUGCCUACCCUAACGUCACCCCACACCUUAUUUCCCUUUUUACCCUUGCUUUCCGUUUUGGCCCCCACCCUUUCGCCUAGUCUCCCACGUUUCAAUCCCAAAUGCCUUGGGUAGUUCUUCAUACAAAUUUUUUUUAGCAACAAAAACGUCAUGCCUACUUUAGAAUUUAUUUCUCCAAUAAUUUGAUAAAAUUUAUAUUUAAGAUUUGAACUUCGAAAUCAAUAAUUACUUAGAUUCAUCUGGAUUUGUUAAUUUUAUUAUUGGAUUUUUUUUUUAUAAAAUUGAAGUUUAUCAGCCUCCAUGCCGUCCGUUGAAAUCAGGUGUUAGAGUGGAUCAAAUCCAAAACUGGCUUUGAAGGUGGAGGAAUUAAUGUUGUGUUGCCGGAUAAGAAUAAUGGUAUUUAUUAAGAGUUGUUGCAAAUUUGUCUUCCAAGUCUGCCAAUUUAUGUAUUUACCCUAUUUAGUAUCAUGAUCAAUUAUAUCUAAUUCAAAAAUAUAUCAUAUCUAUUUUAAUUUUUAAUCUUUAUAUUUUCUUACCAAUUUGGUCCUCCUUCUUUUUCUAAUUAAAUUUAACCAUUAAUCUUUUAAGAAGAGUUAAAUCAUUUUUUUCAAUUAAAACAUUAAUUUUUAAGUAUGUUAGCGUGAUAACCAUUAACCUGUGUAGCAAUCUACGUAGCAUUAUUAUUUUUAUGUUUAAAAUUCAAAAAAUUAUAAAAAGUUUAUAAAACUUAAAAAUAAAAAUAGCAUGAAAUAUAUAUUAAAAAAUUUGACAUUUUAACCAAUAUUUUCAUAAAAAAAUAUAAAUUAGUUAUUUUAGUAAAAAAUUCGUUUUAUUUUUUUGGUGUGUUAUACUGAUAUGAUUGCACUGCCAAGAAGUACUAAAAGUAGUUCAGCGGUAAUUGAUUCUAUCGAUGUUUACUAAUAGCUACUUUUUGAUUUGAAGCCAAAAUCAUCCGCAUUUCCAACUUCCUUCUUCUAUUUCAUACGUUAUACUAUUUAACUCAAUCGUCUUUCUAUUCAUCCAAGACCGAUUGAAAUUUUUUAUUUAAAAUCCAAACCAUGAUAUUUUAAAUGUAAUUAAGAUUGAAAUGAAGUAAGAAAUAAGUGUGUCUUUUAAAAUAUAUAUUAUGAUUUCUUUACAAAAAAAAAUAUUUUAACUUUUCAGUUAAAAUUUUAAAAAUUAAAUAUAUUAAAUGGAUGAUAAAUGUUAUAACCUACUUGGUAAGUAAAUAAAUUUUAAGCCGUGGUAAAUUCUGCAAAAUAAGAGAUAUUUAAGAUUUGUCGUGAGAAAUUUAUUUGUUAAAAUACAAUACAACAAAAACUUUAUCUUGUUUUAUUUAGGAAGUGUUUGGAAAGCUAUCUGAUAAUUGAAUCCAAGUGUAAUUGUUUAUAAUUACACAAAAGUGACAUGUUUGAGUAAUUGGAAUGGGUGAGUCUCGCCAAUUUGGGUAUACUUAGAGCACCCUAAUUAUAUUUUUCAAUUAUUAAAGGAGAGUGAGAAUUAAAGUAAUUAUACACUUAGUUAGACCCAAUUUAACUUAGUUUUUUUUAUAUAUAAGUUAUAAAAAUUAUAUUAUAAAGAUAAACACAUAUGAGUGUUUGAGAUGAUUAUGACAACAUAUAUAUAUAUAUAUAUUACAAAUCCUAAAAAAUUAUUAUAAAAAUAAAUUGUGUAUUUUAUAAAGUUAAAAUAAAAAAUAUUAUUUAAAUCCUAAAAUUUUUAAAAUUAUGACCAAAUUUAUUAUAAAAAAUAAUAUAUGUGUUAUGAAAGUGUUAUAUUAUAUUUACUUUUUUUCUAUCUCAUGCAAUGCAUGGAUUACUCAUAUGUUUUAUAAAAUUAUUAAUUAAUAUUUAAUAGUCACAAUCAUUAAAAAAAUACUUUAAAAUUGUGUAAUUUAUUUAAAUUUUGAUAAGAUAUUUUUAUUUGGUUAUUAAAAAAAUUAUAAACAACAUUUUGAAUUUUAAAAACUUGUAAAAUUAUUUUAAAAAUAAUAUUUCAAAUUUCUGAAACUUUUAAAUGAAAAAAACUUUUGAUAAAUUAUUUUUAUAUUGUAUUUAAAAAUAAUUUUACUUUUUAGCGUUAAAUAUAAAAUAGUUUACAAAAGUAUAAAAUCAUUUUUAAAUACAUAUAACGUAAAAAAAAUAAGGAAAGGAAAUAACUUACAUUAUAAAAGUGUUAUAUUAUAUUUAUUUAUAAAAAUUUAUAAUUAAAAAUAUAGAUAUAACUUAUUUAUGUAUUCAUAUUAUGUAUUAUAAAAAUAAUAUAUUUAUCCAUAAAUAAAUAUUAUGGUUGUUUUUAUAGUAACUUAUUUAUAUAAAAAAAUAACAUUCUAAAGUUAUGGAAAUUAUAUUACUUACCAGAAAUGUUGUGAAAGAUUUUGACCAUUUAUAAAAUCUUUUUUUACAAAGGUUAUAUAUUAUAAAUUUUAUAUUGUUUUUAACUUAAAUUACAUAGUAUAAAAAGAGAUAUAAUUUACUCUAUGUCUUUCUCUAAAUUAGGUUUAUAUAUGUCUUUACAAUUAAAGUUAUAGACUAUUUGAAUUAUGAACCCUGAUAUUAUAAGAUCAAUGCUAAUUAUGCAAAUAUAAAAUGUUUUAUUGUAUCAUUUCAUGGGGUAUGAUAUCAUUUAAAAGAAUGUUGCCAAACAGAAACACCAUACCAUAGACAACUUGCGAGAACUCUCUAAUUUUAGACAUUCAGAACUUCAAAAUAUGGUUGAUAAGACAUUUUGUUGUUUUAAAAAAAAUCUCAUAUUAACAGUAUUACCUUAGUAUAACAUAAAAAAAUAAAGUUGGAUCAUAUUAGCAUAUUGCAUAUUUUAUAACUUCAAUCAUAAGUGGAAUUGAAAUAAUCCAUACUUCGAAUAGUACAUGGAAGAAUGAGAUCUUAAUAAUUUUAGUGACGUUGAUUCAAAUUCAAAUGAUGGUGAACUUAGUCAGUAACCAAUAGAUAAAUAUAAUAAGCAUAUGUUCAAUAUUAAAGAGGGAACAACUCAAUAAAUAUGUAUUGAAACAAUUAGAUAGAAUUGCAUAAGAGGUUUAUUUUUCAUGUUAUUUUUAUUAGUAUUCGUACUGCCAACUACUUUUUUAGAUUAACAUAAUACGUAUGAUGAUUUUAUUUAAAUUUUUAUUAUUUUUUAGAAAUUAUUUUUAUCAUACUAAUCAUUUUUUUGCAGUAAUUAGCCAUUUUUAAUAAUAUAAAUUAUGUAACUUUGUACUUCAAAUUGUACUAGCAAGCAUGACAUUGGGAGCUAUGAUGUAAUUACACCUGGUCAUCUAAACAUAUUUAGGAAAUUACAAUUCGUUGUAAUUACAAGAGAGUAUAAUUAUUACCCUAAUAAUUACACUUUCAUUUAAAUACUGUGUGAAUGUUAAAAAUUAAAUAUAAAAUUUAAAAAUUAAAAAAUAUUAUAAUACUAUUAGUUAAUUUUAAAAACAAUAAAAUUAGAAUUUUGUUAACUCAAUCGAUAUCCGCUUUAACUUGUUGCAUCAAAUUUAGUCGGUGAUUUAUAUAAAUAGAGACAAAUAAUAUAAAAAACGUAAAAUAGUCUUGAAUUGAAUGACGCAAACUAUUUAAAAUAUAAAACGUGAAAUUUUUAAUAAGUUCGUGACAUUGGAUUAAAUUAAUCAUUUUACCAUUAAAUAGGUAAUUUUAAUUUUAUAUUGUUGAAAAGAAUUAAAUAAGAACAAUUUAGAAUAGGGAUAACAUUUAUUAUUUAAAAAAAACGACAUGAUAUAUAUUUUUCAUUUAAAUUUAACUCCAAACAAAAUAUUCCAUCUAUAGAAUCAUAAAAAUGUUUUCAAAAUAUAACUUUGUUAAACAGUAAAUGAUAAAUUCAUAAAUUGUAAAUAUUAACUCUGUUGAAAUUGGCAAGGUAUUUGAACUGGAUUGGUGGUCUAACUGUUAGAGCACCAGUUCUUGGUUCGAUUGGUUUGUCCAGUCCAAUUGAAUAAAUUAUUAAACAAAUCAAAAAAAAUAAUGAAGAAAACUAGUUCAACCGUUUCGAUAGGUUAGUUCAAGCAAUUCAUGGAUCAAUCAAUCCAACCCUUUUUUUGGGCCGGUAUCUUAAUCAGUUCUUUAUUUAAUUGGUCUGGCUUAAAUAUAAAAAUUGUGAAAAUUAAUCUUAUUUGAUAUGUUUUAAUAAUAUAGAGACUAAAUUAAUAGAGGAGAUACAUUUAAAUUCAAUCCUAUAAUUGAGGAACCUACCACCUACAUUUACAAAAUAUAAAUGAUAUUUCUGUAUUGGCUAGAAAGGAAUCUGAUAUAAAACUUACAUAAGUUGUAAUACUUUUAAGUAAUAAAUAUAUAUAUAUAAAAAAUACAACUGUAGAAAUACCUAUUUCUUUUGUCUAGAUCGCCAUAAGCUUUUUCAAAUUUGAAACUUAGCUUAUGUAAUUUUAUAUUUAAGAAUUCAGUUCGUUUAUCUUUUAGAUUUUAAUUGUAAAAUUUAAGUUAUUACAAUAUUAUUUUCUAAUUAUGUGGUUAUUAAAUAAAUACUUUUUUAUUUUAAAUUGUCACACUAAUAAAUUUAACGGUAUUAGUAAAUAGACUUAAAUUUUAAAAUAUGAAAAAUAGAAUGAUAUAAUUCUUAAAAAUUAAAUUUCAAAUUCGAGGAGAGUAGUCCCUCGACGCUUUCUUUCCUUUCCUUGAUCCUAAACAAUAACAUUUCAUGGCCUAAUCUGGAGGGUUUUUAUUAAUGCAUUAGAUACAUAAUACAUACAUUAUGUAGGAUAUUAUAAUAAACUAAAACUGGAAAGUGAAAAACGACAGCACUGAAAUUACUACACGACAACCCAAACUCACCAGUUUGCCAAAGAAUUAGUCAGAAACAUCAAGCUUUGAAAACAAAAAGGAUCAAAUGCCAUAAAGGUUGCUUUAACAUGUAAAUUACUUGUUUUGUUCUACAUUUUGAUCCCAUCACUUUAACACCACUCAAACAAAGAAAAGACACCUGUGUGCAUGCAUCUUCGUAUGUAGUAAUAAAACUAUACUCGGGCAAAAUGAAAAUAGUCAAUUAGAAAAAAAAAUUAAACCACAAAAUUAUUUAUAAAUAGUACUUAUAAUAAACUAAUUAAAAGCUUUGUCUUAUUCGUAAGUGAAAGCUAUAGAAUAAGUUAAUGGAGCCGUAAUUUGUGGCUAAUUGUUUGCUUAAACUUGAACCUUGAUAACAUGUCAUUGUCAUAGCUUUUGAUUUAUUACAAGUCAAAUUAUUCACUUGGUUCCAUCUAAUUCAAAGCCGAUGUAAGAUUAAGUUUUUGAUAAUAAUAAAAAUUUAAUUUCAAAUUUAAUUUAAUUCUACUCAUAAACAACUCCAAUAACGUAAAGUAUUUCAUCAAAUAAUUUAUUAAUUAUAAUAAGUUAUAUUUUGAUUAAAACCAAGUUGUCUAGAAAACUAGACCAUUGACUCCUCCUUUGGGUUUUUUUUUAAUGAAAUAAUUAAUUGAUUAUAUCAAUCAAAUAUUCAAAGGGCAAAGGUCCAUUUUCUAUCUAAUAUGGAAUGACAUAAAUCUACCCACUUCUUAAAUGUGUUAGUUGUUGAGUGACAAUUUAUAUUAUUUCUUUUUAAUUUGAUGAUAUCACGAAAUAAUAAUGACUAGCUUAGAGGAAGUUACCCAUCCAUGACAUGACACGGCAUCAACCAAAGUUCCAAAUUUUUUUAAUACAUGACACGACAUCAACCAAAGUUCCAAAUUUUUUUAAUCAGUCUUACCAUGUAGAAAAUCACCACCAGUGCAAAAUCCAUCCACUUCAUUACAUUUAAAAUUAAAAGAGAGAAAAAACACUAAUGGUGCGUAUAGAUGUACGAUACUUUUAUUUACAAUUAGUAUAAAAAUAGUGGUGACACUAAGAUUAGAUACAGUAGCAUGAGACAAAAAAAGCUAAACACACCGUACCACACCUUCAAAUCCACCUUAAAUUUGAUUAAUAAAUUUAUACAAAUAAUUUGAGAAUUCUAUCUUUUUAGAAUCCAAUAUAAUUUAUUUGGAAUUUCAAAAUUUUUAAAAAAUAUUUUAACUCAUCAAGAUGUUAGCUUUAUUUAUGCCAUAUACGUAGAUUGUCAUGUGUAUAUUACGUAAGCAAUUAAUUAAUUUUUUAAAUUUUAAAAACUCAAAAAAUAUAAAAAUUACUAAAAAAUUGAAACUUAUUAAAGAGCCUAAAAAAUAUUUUUAAUAUUUUUAUUUUUUUAAAAAUUAAUUAAUUGCUAACGUAGUCUACACAUUGACUGUCACGUGUAUGCCACAAUACUAAAGUUAACAUACGUUAAAUUUUCUAUCCAUUUUGGGUAAUUUGAAAAACAAUUCAAAUUCAAAUGUUAAAAGAGACGAAAAUUUAUAUGAAACGUUAAAAAUAAUAUUUUUUUUAUAAAGUCAGAGAGUCAAAUAAUUCAUUAAAUAAUUAUUUUAAUUAUAAUUGUAAUCUUAAACUAAAUCAAAAUAAAUUUAGAUAAAACUUAUAUAUUAAUGAGAUUUUGUUCGUAAUAAAUAUAAAGAGAACUUAUAUAUAAUUUACAUAAAGAAUUACUCCAACAUGUAGUCUUAAAAUUUUCAAAAUUUUAGGAUUAGUUUGGUUUUUAAAAAAAUAAAAAUAUGUAAAAUUAGAAGAAAAAAAAUAUUUUCAUCAUUUUCAUUAAACAUGUUCUGGAAAAAUGGAAAUGAUGAAAACCAUUUAAAAAAAGAAAAUACCUCUUAUUUAUCCUUCUUCAAAUCCGUUUUGAACUUUCUUCUUACAAAAAAAGUGGCUACAAGCUUAAUAGCCUAACAUUACAUUGGAGCACAACUUGAUGCAGGCUGAACUAGAUAUUAAAUAAAAAUAGUAAUUUUUUUAAAUAAAAAAAUAUUGAUAAGUUUAAAAUGGGCUUAAGUUAAUCAUUUACAAAUAUGAAUAGAUUUGGAUAAAAUUACAAGCUCAUAUUUUAAUCCAAUUAAGGGUCUGUUUGUUUACAUGUAAAAGAUUUUACGGUAAAUGCUUUCUGUAUUUUUUGUGUUUGUUUCACAGAAAACAACUUGGUCAACGGAAAAUAACUUAUAGAUCAACGUAAAAUAAGCUUUUUUUCUUGUAAAAUGGACUUACCCGUAAGUCAUCUUCCGGAAAAAAGUUCAUCUACAAGUAAUUUUAUUUUAUAUAAAAAUUAACUUAAAUCAAGCUUAAUAUUAUGAUAUUGAUAAUAAAUUUUAUUUUUAUUUUUAAAAUAUUAAUAUAAAAUAUUAUAUUUUAUAAUAUUAUUAAACAUACAUAUUUAAUUAUUUAUAUUUAGUCGUAUAAUAAAUUAUUUAAUAUUUCAAUUUUAUUUUUAAAAAUAAUAAUUUUAAAUAAUAUUCUUCACAUAUUAUUGAAAACGUUUAAUAUUAAUAUUUUAAUAACAAAUAUUUAUUACAAUUAUAAAUAUAUUAAUAAUAAAUGCUUUGUAGUAUAAAGGUUAAAACAUGUCAUGAGUCUAUAUGCUAUUCACUAAUUUGCAAUUUAGUCUCUAUACAUUUAUUUUUAAGAAUUUAGUCUCUCUAUUUUUCAGAUUUGAAAAUCAAGUCCAAUUGUUGACAUUGUUAAUUUUCUUUUGUCAAAAUUUUAAAUAAAAAAUACUCAAUUGGUAGUCAUAUAACUAAAAGAUGGAGUUGUAAUGAACCUAAAUUUAACAAAAUAUUUUUAAUAUAUGCAAAAACAAUGCAAAAUAUAAAUUUAUAGAUAUAAAAUAAAUUUAAAUGAACAAUGGAAAGAUAAGAAAAUCUCAAACGUAUGUUUGUUUUGUUAAAAACAACUUUUGUAAAAUAUUUUUAAGAAAUCUGUCAAACACUAGAAAUUAUUAACUUUUACAGGAAAGUAAAUUAUUUUACAAAAAUCAUUUUUCGGAAGUUAUUUUUUGAUAAACAUAAAGUGUGUUAAUAUCACACGUAAAUUCGACCCGAACUUAGAUUGGCCCAUUAACACCUGUAUCUCCAACCCAAACCAUGAUUUUAAAUAUAAAAAAAAACAAUAGUAAACAAAUAGCUUUUCAAACUAAAUCCUGUUUUUAAUUCGAGAUUUUAACAGAAACAGAAAAAUUAAAAAUUUGGUUGAAAUUACUUUUUAUCCUCGUUAAAGAAAUGUAAUAUAUCUUCUAUUUUAUAAAAUUAUAUUUGAAAUAAUUAUUUUAAUUUUUUAAAAAGAAAUAAUAAAUAUUAUCAAAAUUUUCAAAAACACAAAUUGUGGAGAAAUUAUCAGAGUGUGCAACCAAAACGAACAGUUUCGUAUUUCAGUUAAAAGAACAAAAUACUAAAUUGAAAGUUGAAUUUCUUUGCUCAUUUUCAACUAUAAAUGGUCAAAGGAUUAAUAUUAUAUGGUAUCUCAUGUCAAAAAAAAUUAUGAAUGCAUAUAUGGUUUGGUAAUUUUUUAAAUUUCAUAGAAUUUAAUAUUAAAGUACAAUUAAUUAAAUUAGAAUGUUCAAUCUUCUUUUCUUUGCAACUCAGUGGUACAUUUUACGUUUAUUUAUAAGACUAGCAAAAGAUUGAGUGUCCCUAUCAAAUUAUCAAUUUAGCAGAGGGCAGGUUUUUGGUUAGGUGUCUACACAGAAAAAUAAAUCUUUUCGAUGUCGACCCAUUUAUUUAUUUAUUUAUCAAAUUUACAAAAUUACCCCUUAAUUGCAACUUCCCCUAAUAAUUUCAAAGCAUAAUAACUUAUUCAGCCCUCCAACUUUAUAAAAAGAAAUCAUUUUAGCCUUUUGUUUAAUUUUUCAUUUUUUUUAACCCUUAAAUUCGUAUUUUUAUCAAAUCACCCUAAAAUGAAAGGAAAAGUUAACGUUUGUCAAUUUUGCUGACAUGACAUACUCGUGUAUUGCCACACGAAUAACACAUUAAUAUUUAAUUAUUUAUUAAAUAUUAAAAAAAUAUUUUUAAAAAUUAAUAAAUGUUAACAUGUCAUCCACGUGUAUGCCACAUUAGCAAAGUUAACAAAUGUUAACUUUUUCAUUCAUAUUGAGGUGAUUUAACAAAAAACAUAAACUUAAAGGCUAAAUAAGACAAAAAGUUGAAUAAAUGACUAAAAUAACUUUUACUAUAAAAUUAAAAGGCCAAAAAAAAUAUUAUACAAUAUGAUUCUUGUACAUAUAAUCAGAUUGUUAGAUGUAAGUGAUAUAUAGAGUUGAGGGAAAUUCCAAAUUCCAAUAAAAGUGAGUUCAAAUUUAUGUUUUAAUUUGCAAAAAAAUAUAUCCCAAGUAUGUGAAAUCUAAAAGGUUAUGAAUUAUUUCCCCUUUUCUCCUACACCCAAACGUCCCUUUCUAUCUUUUUUUUUUUUAAUUAGAACUUAAGUUUUAGUGACAUACAUAGAGCAUGGACAAAUCUAGUGGACCGUAUAGGGGUCAUGGCUACUCCAAAGAUUUUAAUUAUAUAGUUUUAUUACAUAUAAAUGCUAAAAUCCGGUCAUUGACUACCAUGACUUUCCUUUUACGUCUUCGUUUUGAUCCAUUCGGUUUCAUUCAAUUUCUUUGAGAUUCAUUGCAUGUUAUCCUAAAUAUAAUUUGGAACGUAUGUUUAAUAAUAAAAUAGGUGCAUGCAUUAAUUAGAUUUGGCGCAAAGGAAAAUAUAUAUGAAGUACAAUUAGGAAUAAGUAGUUCUCAAAUGCUAUAAAUAACACAAGGUUUGCGUAACGCCAAGUUUGCAAAUAUAUAUUGUGACUGUAGCAGUUGUUGAAGAGUUACAUUAACAUUUAACAUCUUCCCUAUUUUGUUGUUUUAUUCGGAGGUGGUGUUGGUUAUUAUUUGUAUUUUGUUACUUUUUUUUUAUUGUUUAAUAAGUCUUCGCUUUUAAAGUUUUUUUGUAUUUCUUAUACAUGUAGUCUUGCUUUUGCAAGUAAUUUUUAGGGAUGGUUUUGUCGCCAUCCUCUACAGUUUAGUGGAUGCUUGAAUUUUUUGUUGAUUUUUGCCCACUGCUUUGGACCAUCCAGGAUUGAUUUCAUUAUCGUAUUAAAUGCUUGUAACACUCUAGAUAUGUCGUGCUUGAGUUGUGACAGAGCCAAUUAUUAACGUGUCAUAAUAUUCUAUUAAUGCCAAGACUGAAACCGUUGUUGUAUUGAUGAAGCUUAUAUUUAACCGUUAGUGUUUUUUAUUUUUUUUUUCGAAUUAUAUUGUCCCAUUCAUAAUAUGAAAUAAUAAAUUUCUCUUUCAAAACAUCUUCCCUAUUUUUAAUAAUUCGUUAAGUCAACUUUUUUUAAAAAAAAUUGUUGUAAUUAUUAGAAUCACUGUUUAACGACAAAAUCGCCAUGUUAAUGAUAAUUAAAGCAACUCCAAUAAUAAUAAUAUAUGAAUAAAUAAAGUAAUUUUAUUUUUGCCACAUUAGUUGUUAACUUAAAAGAAGGAUGAAUAAUAAUGGAUUUGGAGAAACUUCAAUGUUAGUGGGGUUUGCAUGGAAAUUAUGUUGGAAAUGAGAAUAGAAUUCAUAUGACACUGAAAGAACAAACAAUAUGGAAUUCAUAUUUUAGUCUUAUUUAUUAUAAGUCUGCUCAAUUUCUCUUAAAUAUAAUUUUUUUUUCCAAUUCUCUAAUCUCACAAAUUUGUGCCGAUAAAAAAAUAAAAUUCCAUAAAAAUCUGAAAAAUAAAUAAAUAAAAAACACCCUUUGUUGUAGUCUUAGUUAAGUUGGAGCAUAUAUAAUUCUGAAAAUGUGAAAAGGUCUUCCCACACUGUUUGAUUCUUUCAAUCGGUCAAAAACAGUUUUGACUGGUUCUAUUCUAACUAAUUGAGCUAAAGUGUCAAUUUGUUUACAAAUAAUUCAUUCCCACCUUCAUAAGUUAUUUUUACUAAUUUAAUUACUCAAUUAUUUUUUUUUAAUAAUCUGUCCCACCAUUUUACCAACUACAAUUGCUUUAUAUUUUUAUUUUGAAAAAAAAGAAGAGAAGGAAUCUAUCUCUUUCUCCUUUUUAAUUUUAAAGAGCAUGCAUAAAGGAGACUAGAAUUCAAAUUUAGUAGAUGUUAUUUAUUUAUUAAAAAUAUAUGAUUAGGCUUUCACAAAUUUCUUGAGUUGACUUGGCAAUGCUGCAAUGCAUAUAAUAAUCAACAAUUUUAAUUUAUAUGGCACAUUGCUAAAUCAAAUUCAAGGUCUUUGUCCAUAGUCAAGAUCACCGCUGAAGACAGUCCUGUCUAUUUCACUACAGCUCAGAAAGGGUUUUGCUUUGAUUCUCCAAUUUUAGUCUCUAAAGAUAUGGGUAAAAAAAGAUGGAAAAGUAAAAGGAGAUUGAGAUUAAGUGGGGACUAUGCAUUAUAUAUAAACUUUUUGAGUUAGGGUUUUGGUUUAUCCAACAUCAGAAAGUUAAGCAAAGGGAUUCUUGAGGAUUCAUAGCUUUUAUAUAAUCAAGUGAACUUUUGAAUCUAAAAAAUAAAGUUGGCUUUAUGGAAGACAAGAACAUAUGUAGCUACAUGUGGUCUAAAACACCACCUUUUUUCAUUCGUUCAACAUUCAACAAAGUUUACCCAAAACAACAUUCAACAAAGUUCACUGAUUCACUUAAUUUUCUCCAGCUAAAAUCAUAAUAUAUAUAAAAAGAUUGCACUCAUUCAUUCUUCUUCUCAUGAUGCUCAUGUGCAAACUUUCAACCCCCCCCCCAAAAAAAAAGAAAAAAAAAGAGGGCUUGACUUCAAUGUCAAGUCUCUUAAUCUUGAUGGGUUUGUUUUUUUUUCCUACAAAUUGAUAUUUGUAGGCUAAUUGGUAUUUUCCUAGCCAAAAAUAAAAAUAAAAAUGCUGAGUUAGGUGUUAUCAGCUGGUCCUUUUGAAUAAAAAUAAGUUGGUCAACAGUUUGAAUAAUCUUGUUUAUGAACAGAAAAUGUUGCUUAUACUUUAUCUUUUUAUGACUCUUAUCCGUUUGUCAAAGGAGCAAGAACUGCUUCUGAAACCCACAAUUUUUAGGAUCUACUGCCGGGCGAUGACUGCUAAUAGAGUGGGGCUCAAAUUUAAUCAUUCAAUCUUUUUCUGUUAUAUAGAAUUAAGCAUAGUGGAUAUUUGGUGACUUAACCUAAAAUUAAGUUUGAUCCAUAAAACCCUUUUGUCCUUUUUCUUUUCUUUAAUCAUAUUCAAACUCAACUUUAAACUAGUUGAGUUUGAUUUUAAUUAAGUUUGCUAUUAUUUGUGGAAAUAAAAUUUUAAAAGCCACUCAAAUCAAGCCCUAAAUACUACAUGAGUUAAGUGAAUUUACAUAAGAAUAGCAUUUAAACUUUAGUUCAGCUCAGUCUCCUAAAGGUUAUUUAAUUUUUUUUUUCUAAGGGAGCUUUAUACACUUCUAAUAAAAUUUAUUAAUUUCAAAUUAAAAAACUUAUUACGUAUCUACUAUUUAAAACUAAUCAUGUGUUACAUUCUUAAUCCGUGAUAAAAAUAAUAAUUAAGCUAUGAAAUUUACACAUACCAUCACAAUUCAAGUUAACCAUGGCAUCAACAGGGAUGGGGCACAUUUUCAACAUUAGUGGCUUCAGCGACAAUACACUAGUCAUUAACUUGGCCACUGCAAGAUUCCAAGUUAAUCUAUGAUUAAUGUCUGCAGCAGAAUUCGUCCAUUUCGAACAUAUCCACAUGAAUCAAGUUGCUGAACGGUUCAUUGGGUAGGAUCUUUUGACCAAGUUUAUCCCAUUGGAUAGAACAUUAUAGGAUGGGCAAAAUCCAAAAAGUUUGAGCUGAACAUGCGGUUCAUAUAAUUGCUUACUUCGAAUGCGAACUAGUCGUUUCCUUGAUUGAAUAUUUGGUUCCGGCACCUUUCCAUCAUUUCCUUGAGCUUGUAUGUCACAAACUUUGAUUUGCUACGUGUAUAAUUCAACAAUCAAUCAACUAAACUGCAAACUUUUUAUUAUUGUAGAUAAAAAUGGAAUUUGAGGUUAAAUCACAAACUUUCAGGAAAACACAUAAAUAUUGGCAUGCCGGCGAAGUAGAAAUCUGAAGACAAUGCAGCAGAGUAAAGCAAAAAGCCAACCAGGCAACUUCUUAAAUGCCCAAUAUUUAACCAGGAUUGUGAGUUAGUCAUAAUUCUUGCAAAAUAUAAUGGAGAGUAAGCAAUAGUGCGACACCUUUCUCCUAUUAUAGUUCAAGAAGGAUUUGGCCAUUAAAAUUGGUGUCCAAGCUCUGGAUUUGAAACUUCCUUGGGAGAGAUUGAGAUCCUUAAAGGCAACUUGGUCUUGAAGAGGUAUAAGUAGGGCCGUUCACUGACCUGCUGUUUAUGCUAAAGCAGAAUCCGAUAUCCCCUGGAAAUCCAACUGCCAUUUUCUUGCCAAGGUGAAGGAACUUUGUCAUUUUAGCAUGCAAUGUUCUAUCAUCGAGGAAAUGUUUUCUUAUUAGACCAUGUGUUGUAGAUGCUCUAAAUUUAUGUUUUCACAACUUAGUCAUGUGAUCCUCUGCAUCUAUAUUGUGUAAGUUGGGUUUUUCAGUAGCAAAUGGUCGAAUGAAAAAUGGAGUUUAUUACUGCAUACAGGUAAACAAAUGUGUUGCAUCGUAAUGUUCUCAAGCAGAGCAUUUUUUCUUUCGGUAUCCACUGUCGGUUAUAGUGACUAAUUCCUCUCACUACGAGUGCUUUUCGAAGUGGUAAACGGUUGGUCAUAAAAUGUGCUCCACCGAACUCCCCCGAUCUCAUGAUUAAAGGAACAUCUCAUGUAAGAAUCACUUUAAUAUCUCACAUACAUUGAUAUUUCGGUUCUAUAUUAUAUAUCUGCCUUACUGAACUUUGCAUUUGUCCUGUUUUUGUCUUUUUGGCUUCUGAAGUUAUUUUUGUUCUUUUUCUUAAUAUUUUCUUAAUCCAGUUUUUGUGCAUUAUUGAUGUUACAGUAAUGGUGUUUCAAGAGCAAGUAAAAAGAAGAGGUUUUUUCUUUUGCUCAUCUCAUAAGCUUGUUGAUAUCAAGACAGCGUGCUCUUUUCUUACCUUAAUGAAUUCAACUUUAUUUUUGUACGUUUAUUUUAGAGCAUGAUACGUUAAGUCUCUGCACCAAAUUUUGACUUACAGCUGAAAGUAGGGUUUUACAAGAUUAGUUGUCCUUGAGCUGAAUCUAUAGUUAAAGCCGUUGUUCGAAGACGUUUAAACCGGGACAAGUCCAUCACUACCGCCUUGCUUCGCAUGCAUUUUCAAGAUGAAAUUAUUGAUAAAAUAAAAGGGAUAAUGAUAUAUUUGCCCCCUGAACUUUGGAUAAUCUUCUAAUGUGGUACUUUUACUUUCAAAAUGUCUAUUUUGAUACUUGUACUUUUGCACUGUUAAUCAAUCUAGUACCUUUGACAGACGACGUUAGUUUCUGGCAUGGCGAGACACGCGGCCCAGCUAUAAGUUCCCACAUUUCACAUUUUCCAGAAAAUAUUUUAUUCCCAAAUAAUGAGAGGGACCUCAAAUUAAUUAUACCAAAAAAUAUCUUAAGCAAAAAAGAAGUUUUUUUGGUCAUAUUUUCUUAUUUGAAAUAAUGCAUCAGGACCUAAGAUUAAAUAAUCAAAAAGUUUUUUUUUUAAAUCUUCACCUUUUUUAUUUUUUACCUUCAAAACUAAUUAUUUUUAAUUAAAAUAAAUCUGGGCAAAUCUGAAUGCUCUUAAAAUAAAUCUUUAAAUCUCAAAUAAAAUAUAUUUAAUUUAAUUUAACAUAAUUAAUAAUAAUUUUAGAAAACAUAAUUAAAAAUGAAAAUCCAAUUUUUUUCUCUUUUCUUCUUCUCCUUUUUUUGUAUAAUUUUCCCAUAAUUUUGACAGUUAAUAAUAUGGUUAAUUGUAUAUUGAUGCAAUUAAUAUUUUUGGUAUAAUUUACAUUUUCUCAUCAGUGAAAAUUUUAUUUAUCCAUGUAGAUGAAAAGUAAAAAGAAUUUGGUAGGACAAAGCUAUUUUUUAUGGGUGAGUAUUUGGUAAAUUGAGCAGUGUAUUUUUUUAUUCUAUAAGUACGUUUUAAAAAUUGACAUGUGUCUUUUCUUUUUAAAUAUCUAUUUUUUAAAAUCUUCUAUUUUACCCUAUAAGACAUUGGUCAACUCUUUAAUUCUAUUAACUCUACCUGUGGAGUCUAAAAGUGUAUCAAAUAUUUUCCCUUCUUUUAUUUGUAUUUAGGAUUAACAUUCAAAAUGAAUAUAUUUCUUUGUUAUAAAUAUUUUUGAAAAUAUAUUUUUUCAUACACUUGAAUUCAUACCUAUAAUCUAAUUUUACAUCAUAAUCUUGAAUCCCAAGUUGUAGCCUAUUGUCCGGGUGUUUAUUUUUUUCAAAAUAAUCUGGAUUCAAAUUACGAUUGCAUAAAACAAUAUACAAAUUAUUUUUAAAUAUAUUUAAUUUCAACCAAAAUGUGAGCAAAUUAGAUUAAUUCAAAGAUCUGUUAAUAAUAAAAUUUUUAAUUCUGACUUUCUAAUUUAUAUUAAAUAUUGUAAAAUAAUUUAUCCGACAGAAAAUCAUUAUUUUGAUAUUUUUUAUUUUUUAUUUGAUUAAAAUCACUCAACUGGAAACAAGAAACUUACUGCAAGCUUUCAAAUUCAAUCAUAUUGAUUUUAUGAUAAAAUCUUAACAACAAUUUUAGAUGUAUUUUAUUGUUUAUUAAAAUUGUAAACUUUAUUCUUUCUCUAAAACUAAAUCAAUGAGGCGUCACCCAUUCAAACUGCCAUUUGUUAAACAAUGAAGUGUGGCACUUAAUCUCCUUACUUUGUUUUUUUGUUAAAAAUCUUAUAUAAUAAACUGUCAGCAUCAACAAAGAUCACCUACUUUUUUGACAACAUACAUAAUGGUUCGUAUAAUUGCUAGCCUCGUUUUAUGACAUCUCCUAUGGCACCUUCAUUCUAUUGUAACAAGUUUACCCCAUCGAGUAGAACAUUACAGUCUGAGCAAACUCCUAAAGAGGACCAGCUAAACAUUCAUAAUGGUGUAUAAUUGCUUGCCUCGAAUGCCGACCAAUCAUCUCAUUUAUGACACUUCCCUUGGCACCUUCAUUAUAUUGUAAGGAAGAUUAUAGCAGCUAGGAUUCUUGCAUAUUAAUGAUGACUCUCCACGAGAUCAGCAAGAGUUAUCUUCCCGCAGUUGCCGACAUCCAGCCUAUCAAAUGUCUCGCAGAUCUGCAUGAUGUCUUUUUCUGAUACCUUCCCCAACUCCUUGAGCUUGUAUAUCACAAACUCUAAUUUGCUGCAUGUAUAAUCCAACAGUAAUACUUAACAAUUAAUCAACCAGACCUCGCACUUGUUCGUAUUGUAGAUGAAAAUGGAAUCUGAGACAAAUUUAGUAACUUAAAGCAUAACACAUAACUUUUGGCAUACAAAUUACCAAAAACAACAUUUUAAGAUGCAAAAUAUCGGAGGAUAAUGCAACAAAGUAGGUCUGAGAUAGCUGAUGAGCAUAUAAGCAGCAUGGCAAGAAGUAGAGCAGAAUAAGCAGUGGGCUUCAGUUUGUCCACAACAAAGCAUCUUGAAGAACAUGAAAAUUUAUGUAGGACAUUCUAGGCUUCUGAAAUUAGCAGGUCAAUUUAUUCAAUUCUUUUCGUGGUGAUUUUGAGAAUGUCUGAGCAAUUGGCUAAUAAAAAUUUUACAUAAUUAUCAUAAUUUAAUAGCAGAAUAUGAAGAAAUGAAAACCACUUCCAUUUGUAGAGGUUAUGUGUUAAAAGCAUUUUUGAACUACUGAGAAUCCCAUUUAUUAGUUUUACAAGCUUUCACUAAAUAGAUUUGUUCUAGGAUAAAAUAUGAACCAAGCAACUAACAAGUAUAUCAACCUUUCAACGUCUAAGCUUCAAGAGUUCACAAUAUGAAGAAGUAACCAAAUUUCGUAAAAAAAGAAAACAACAUACCUCACAAAACCAUUGUUAUCAAUAUCAGCAGGAAGAAACUCCGAAAUGGUCAGAUCAUGGUCAAGCACCCAUUUUGUCAUCUUCCUGUGCCUCUUACCCACUCUAGCCUCAGCCAAAUAUAGAAACGCUCGAGCGACGGCCAGAGUUGAAACGAACAACCAAAUAGUAGCAAAAAGCCGACCAGGCAACGUCUUAAAUACCCGAUCACCGUACCCGACAGUCGUGACCGACAUAACAGAAAGGUAAAAAGAAUCCAACCAUCCAAGACUCUCAACAAAAUGCAUAGCGCCAACACCAAUUCCAAUACAAAGAACCACAACUCCUAAUGCCAAUCCCACCUUCAUUCUUAUCCUCAUUCUCCCCUUCUUCACAUCAAUUAUGUAAGACCUAGUAGAAUCCUUCUUUUGACCUCCAUGUUGAACGGUUCUCAACAAGUAAUUCUCUUGCAAAUCAAGCACAUAACUAAUCAUACCACUAAGCAACAUAUCGAUAAAACCAAAUCCAACCAGCACAAAUAGUAUUGAAAACAAUUUGGUAGUCACGCUAUUAGGAGUGAUAUCCCCAUAUCCGAUUGUGCAUAUUGUGACGAUACAAAAAUACAGCACAUCAACAAUCGGAUGAGUUUCAUGACCCACAAAAUUAGAACGAUUAAACCAAUAUAUGAUAACACCCAAUGACAAAUACAGUAGCACAAGCACAAAAGCUUGCCUUACAAUCGAUGGAGAACCAAAUUGAGGCUUGGGAAUUGUAGGGUGGAUGAUAUCGUUUAAAACUGCAAUGGCAGGUGCUGUUUUGGACCUGUGGAGAUUGGUUCCCAUAAAUUGGAAUAUUUACUGCCCGAUAAUUAGGGGUGUCGAAAAUUACAUUCCUGGAAUUUAGUUCCCAUAAAUUGGAAUAUUUACAAAGUGCAGUUAAUUAGGUUUCGGUUAAGCGAAUUUAUUAGAAUUAAAAGUAAUUAGAUAUAAGGACUAAAUUGUGUAUAGGGUAAAAGUUGAAUUAUAGAUUAAAAAUAAAUUAAAGGGCCAAUGUAGUAAUUAUACGUAUAUUAUAAAAAAAUGUUAAAAUAUGUUAUCUUAAUAAUUAAGUAAAUGUGUAUAUAUAUUAUAAUAAUAAUUUAAAGUAUAAUAAACAAAUAGAUAAAAAAAAAAAGCUAUACAAAUUAGAAAGAAAAGAAAGAAAAACAGAAAGAAGAUAGGAGAGAACAAACGGCUAAGGGUUCCAAUUUUUCAAAUUUCAAUUGGUUAAUUAAUUUGGUCUACUUUCUUGUAAUUUUUAUAUUUUUAGAAUCUUGAUAUUUAGGGUUACCCGACCCAUGUUGAAAUUUUAGCAAUUAUUAAGUUUUUAAGUGUUGUCAAUGUUGAAUAAUUUUAGUAUUAGGGAUUAAAUUGAUAAAUUUUUAAGCUAGAAAUGGAAAAGGAUUAAAUUGUAGAAUAAAUUGUAAAUUUUGAGUAAUAGGGACUAAAUUGUGAAAAAAUCAAAAUUUAGGAGUUUAAGUGGAAAUUGGGAGUUAAAUUUAGUUUAAAGUGGAUUUGUAUGAAAAUAUAGAAUUAAAUGCGAAGAAUAAAAAAUUAGCCUCAGUUUAGGGACUAAAAUUGGAAUUUAGACAAAUAUUGAGUAAAAUUUUAAAUAUUCAAUAUUCAAUAUGAAAUUGAAAUUUUAUUGUAUUGAUGAAUUUUAAUUGUUUUAGUUUCGUAGCUAACGUCGUACCGGAAUCCUCGACUAAAAAUGGGAAAGAUAAAAUCGACGUCGAAUAGCUCGGAAUUCCCGAUUUGUAUUUCUAUAAUCCGAACUUAGUUGUUAAUUAUUAUAAUUCAAUUUUAAUGCAUAUAGUAAGUGUUGAGGUGAGUAAUUGACAUUUUGAUAAUUGAUUGAAAUGGAUUGAAUUGAUAGAUACAUAUUGAAUGUAUUGAUUAUUGAAUUGAAAUGAAUAUAUGUGUUAAUGUGAAAGUUGGAUAUUUAUUAUUAUAGAUUGAAUUUAAUUCAUGUGUAUAUAUGUGAUUAGAAAAAUUAGUAUUGGAUAUUGGUUUUAUCUGAAAUGUGAAAUUAAACCCUAUUAACUGUAUUGGGCUGAGUCGGAUAUAGAUGGCAUGCCAUAGGAUAGGAAGAGUUCAGGGAUUUCUUCGACUUCAAGUCGAUGAGGCACUGGGUGCCAAUUUACUUCGAUUUAAUCGAUGAGACACUAGAUGUCAAAUUUAUAUAGCGCUGGGCACAGUUACUACUUCGGAUUUAUCCGAUGAGGCACUAGAUGCUAAACUGGUGUGUUGGUUGGAUCCGUGUAUUUGUCCAAGUCCAAGUCAUGUUAAUAGGGAUAAUUAAAUAAAACGGUACUAUGAUUGAUAUUGGAUGAUAUUGUAUGUGAAUUGAAAAUGGGAUAGUGAUUUGAAACAUGAAAAUGAGAUACAUGAGUUAUGUACUCAUGAAUUGAAUAUAGAAUGGAUAAUGUUAUUAUUUAAAUGAUAUGUGGAUCAAAUGAUGUAUUCAUGAGUUGAGUAGUGAAUGGCUAAUGUCAUUGUACAAAUAAAUGUGGUUUGAUAUGUGAAUAACUAUUUAUAUUGUAAUUGUGUGAAUUGGGGACAUUGUUUAACAAAUGGAAUAUGAUAGCAUAUGAUAGUCAUGAUACUGGACAUUAAUAUGUGCUUAAAAUUCAAUUGUGCAUAUUAUAUUAUCUUGUCUUUAAAUAUUCAGAUUAUAGAAAUACCAUUGAGUUCUACUCAGCGUACAGUUUUGUUUUUCCAUGUGCAGAUUAGGUACUUCACUUUUGAUCGCCGAUUCAGCAUACAACAACGAUCCCGAACUCAAAUGUGGUGAUGUUUAUCUUUUGUGUCGGCAUGUACCUAGGACAUCUAAAUGGUAGUUAUUUUGUAGAUGGAUUAUAAAUGUAAUGUUGGUUUGGUAUAUACAUAUAAACAUGUGUUUGUGUUUGAAGCCAUAUUAUGGCAUGGUAAAUUGAACCAAAUCUAGAUAUGUGCAUGUGAAUUUAAGUUAAUGUUUUAGGUAGAUAUGAGCUAGGCCAAAUUGAUGGAUUUUGGCAUGUUUAUAAUUUUAAUUUGAAUGAUGCAUUGAUGAUAUGUAUUGAUGAUAUAAAUGUGGUACCAAUGAGGGUACAUUGGUUAGGCACCUAGGAUGAUUGUUUUAGCAUGUUUUGAAUGUGUUUGAUUGUGUUUUGAAUAGGUUAAACGAAUGGUUUUUGAGUUGUUUAAUGCCCAAGCGUGUAGGAAAUGGUAAAUUUGUUGUUUAAGGCCCGUUUUAGGUCCACACAGACGUGUGACUUGGUCGUGUGAGACACACGGCUAGCACACGGGCUUGCGAUGUAACACCCUUAACCUGUAUCCAUCAUCAAAAUAGGGUUUCGAGGC
rnacentral:lncRNA from 1 species